AAACAAGAUAAUUCAGGAUAUAUGUAUUGUCAUAUAUUUUUUUUUUUUUUGAGAGAUAGGUAGCACGCUACCCGCUUCGUUUAUUUCAUUUGGAAAUAAACUCAGCUGGAAAUGUGAAUCAACUAUGAUUCGAACUUGAGUCUCGGGUACCAACCACCAAACCCUUUGCCACUUGCUCUAGGGACGAUCGGUAUGUAUUGUCAUAUAUUAAUAAGGAUAAUUCUAGGGCAUGUUUGGUUUAUUGUUUUCUCAUUCUGAAAUCGAAAUCGGAGUGGACGAAUCCGUUUGUCCGUAUUUGGUAUGCGGAAUUUUUAUUUCAAUCUCGAUUUUCGGGUGAACGAGAAUCCCCCAAUUACCUAUUUUUCUAAUCCGGCCUAGGAGGACGAAUUGGAAAUUGAAUCUGGGCGGAAUGGAUUUGUUCGGAUUAAAUUUAACUUCUUUAAGCUUAUUUUUUAAUUAAAACAUAAGUUUAAGUUUAAAAAUUAUAUUUAUAAAUUUUAAUUUUAAUUUGAAAUUAAAUUAAAAAUUAAAAUUCAAUCAAGAAUUUUAAAUCUAAUUUACAAAUUUGAUUUUAAAUUUAAAUUAAAUUUCAAAUCUAAAGUUUUAUUCAAAAUUUAUUUAAAAUUUAAAUUAAAUUUAUGGAUUCAAAUUGAAAUUUAAAUCAUAAUUUUAAGUUUGAAUUUGAAUAAAUUGAAAUUUAAUUUUAUAAUUUGAAUUAUCCAUUCAAUUUCAAAUUUUAAUUUUUUAAAAAAUAUAUAUAUUUAAAAUUUUUGACAUCAUUUUAAAAUUUUGACCUAUAUUUUUAAUAUUUAAUUUUUCAAUUUGAAUUUAAAUUAAUAUAUUAUAAAGAUAAAAUUUACAUAUUAAUUUGAUUACGUUUCUGAUAUCUAUCUAAACCAAUCGUCGACAAUGGGAAUGAUUCAUUCCGAUUCCGAUUGAGUUGACGAACCAAACAGAAUGAAGUAAUGAAUCAUUCUGAUUCCGUUUCCAGCUUAUUCUCAUUCCAAUUCUGAUACCGAUUCCGACUUCGAACCAAACACACUUCUAUAGUGUCUCUCCACCCAGCAAUUACACAACCCAAAACAACAGAAUAUUUUCAACAACCAAAAAGAUGAGCACCUAGUAUUGAUAGUACUAAUCCCAAGUGUGGCUCCCACCAGUACUCUCAACUAGAGGUGGCAAUCCAGCCGGCUAUUCACAAGCCAGCUCAUGUUCAGCUCGCAAUGAGCUCGAAAUCGAAUCGCUCGUUUAGUAAAUAAGCCGAACAUGAACUAAAUUUUUCAGCUCGUUUAAUAAACGAGCUAAACACGGGCUAAGAUCAGCUCACUCGUGUUCGACUCAAUAACAGCUCGAAUAUAUAUAUUUUAUAUUUAUAUAAUUUAUAUUUAUAUAUAUAAUACAGAUUUUUAUUAUUUUAUUUUUAGUCCAAUCUAAAUAUAAAAUCCAACUAAAUUAUAAAAAGGCUCAGUUAUAUGUAAAGUUUCAACCAUUAGAUCAAAGUCUAAUGGGGAAGAUCUCACAAAUUUAUUUUCUAUACAUACCCUUUCUAAUCUUUUUAACUUGUUGUUCGUGAGCUAGUUCGUGUUCGGCUCAUUAAUAAACGAGCCAAAUACGAGCUAAACUUUUCAACUCAAUACUUUAAUGAGCUAGCUCGUGUUCGGCUUAUCAUUCGAAAAUGAUUGUAUCUUGAAAAUGAUUGUACUCUCGAUCGGAAUGACCAUUCAAGAUAUCACAGAUCAAUUGAUGGCCAGUAAAACGUCUGGUACAACAUUGUCGUUUAUUAGAUGUAUUACUAUAUGUCAAAUAUCCUUGGUCAAUGAGCAAUACGAAUACGUGAUCCCAAUAGUCAUCAUCUUCAUCUAAUAUUGUCAUCAGAUUGCUUAUCACUGGUGAAGAAAACACAAUGGAAUAUAACGACUAACCCAUCACUGCUGUAAGGAUUUCAUAUUCAUCACCACAAUAUUAGAAUCAUUUAUACAAUUUCAUUGCAUGACAUGUAUUCACAAUACAUGUUGAAAAAAAUAUAUAAAUCACACAAUUAACAUGUAGUAAUAAAGUAAAUAAAACAUAAUAUAUGAACAUGAGCAUUCCUUACCAAUGCAAUCUACCUCAGUCAUCAUAGUAUGCGAAAGAUAAGCAUUACAUGGAAGUAAAGUCACGUACGAUUACAUACACAGUACUAAAUUAAAACAUAAUAUAGAUACAAAGAUUAAUGCUGAAAUAAGUAAACAUAAAUAGUAAGCACCGUCCACCAACAUUUCAGCCUUGUUCUACAAGCCAGGAAAAUAUUAUUUGUAUAAAAUAUUUUGAGCUGCAACUUGCCGGUCGACCCACAUGCAUGCUAGCUCAUCAUAAUAGUCAUAAAAACUUGACGAUUCUUGUUGUCUCUUAACGCAUCAUCCGCUACCAAAAUUCGCUCAUUUGUCAUCCGAGGGAGAUUAUACAUUCUUAUCAUGCAUGUUUCGAUUGUAGGGAUGCUUGCUCGAUUGCAGACCUCAGUAUGGUAAAUUUGUCGUACUAGAUCUAGUUUUUGUUUAUCAAGUUCUACCAUCUCUACUACCGCGUCACUCGUGGUAUUAUUUUUUUUGCGUCGUCCUCCAGAUGAUGAUGCUUGUUUCCGUGGAGGAUUGCAGGCUGUGGGGAACGAGGCUUUUUCCUACCAGAGGAGUGGCCAGAGCCACUAGCACUUGCUCGUGCAAUGGUGGGAAUAGCGGUAGGGCUAGGGGACCGUGAGAUAUCACUGCUUCUGAGAUUAACAUUGGAAGCCGAGCUAGAUGACCCUGCUUCGAAGGGUGUAGGUUCGAGAUUGAAUGCAAACACUCUCUCCAAUCAUACUUUCAUCCUCACCAGGAGACGAUAAGGAUGAGCUAUCUAUCGAAGGGGUUGCUAGCAUUCCUGACGAAAAAUCAUAUCUUCCUGUAGCCGUUGUCUUUGCAGUAAGGAACGCAAUGUCCUCAUAAGCUGGAAAGGGUUUAUCCCUACACUUUACAUACACUAGAUUCUCCUGAAUACAAGUUAUUAUAGUUAUGAAAAUAUAAGUAUGAUUCUUGUGUAAUAAUAAGUUGAAAUGAAAGUCGUUAAAUUGUACCGCUAUUAUUGCAUCCCAGUCACUUGGAUCACCAACCAUAGGAAUGUUCUGGACAUAAUCCCAUCCCCACCCGCUCUUAUCUGCAUGAUAGUUGUACAAUAUAAAAGUUCUCUUUAAAACUUUAAGCCGAUUCUUUAUUUGCUCCCUGGUCAAGUUUAUAUUGGUCCUACAGUUGAAAUCAGUUAUUAUCCUAGUCUACGCAACGUUUGUGAAUGACCCAUUGGUGUAGUUUCCUAAAGCGUGUUCUUCUAUCAACAGACUUAGCAUGCUUGCAUCCAUACUGUCGGUUCAAUUUGGAGUUCGCUUUCAUGAUUGGUUAUACAAUCUGCUACUACCAUCAAUCUGUAUAUUUUCCAUUGGUGUGGUUUCAAUCACCACACCUUUCUUAUGAGCAGACUUAGAUGGUUUCUUGACAUGAGGCAUCUGUGGUUCAAGCAAAUAGCAGUUCACCAAAACCAUUCAUGUGGAUUGACACAAUCAAGCAUGUGUACGCGGCAAGCUCACAACAUCAGACAUACAUUACAGCCAAGAAGCUAAUAAAGAUGGCGAGGGAACUGUACAUAAUGUAGCAGCUAAGCAUAUAUAUGUUUGAGUAUGUCCAAACACUUGCACGACUAUUUCCAAAACUGAAGUAUUAGCAACUUAUUACAAUGAAAUACAAGUGUGUCUGCCGCGAACGAACCGGCCCCGCCGUAGGGUGUUUCUAGGACGAGUGGUCAUGCAUGGUAGAAGUUAAGUUUGUUUAUGUUUUAUUUUGAAAUCAGGAUUAUAGGUUCAUGGCUUCCAACAGACUCAAGAAUCUGCUAUUAAUUACCACACACUUUCGGUGUUAAGGAACUCUCGAUUAAGAGACCAAAUAUAAAUGCUGAUAACAAAGGAGACAAAACAGGCAAAUAAAAUUUUAUUCAUAUAAUUUGCCGUAUACAUUGCUUAAGCAGGGGCAUACCCCCACUGUACAUGAAUUGAAUCCUAAGUAUAUGUAUUAGGAUUCAGUUGGAUUUGAGAUUGACUAGGUCCUAAGUAUAUGUGUUAAGACCUAGUCAAUAUUAGACUCUAUGUAUUAGAGUCUAAUUGGCUCUAAGUAUAUGUUUUAGAGUCCGAUUAUAUUCACCUUAGUUGUAUGUUCCAAGUUAGAGAUGUGACCAGACCUCAAGUAUAUGCAUUGAAGUGGGUCAAAUUACUCGAAAAUAGAGAGUGGCUAAUUCUUGAGUAUAUGUAUCAGGAUUAACCGAGUUUAAUAUAUUUUCACUCUAGUUAUAUGUGCUAGAAUGAAGAUCUGACUAUGCCCUAAGUAUAUGUAUUAGGGGUAGUCGGAUUUGAUUUGUAUGAGCUCCAAGUAUAUGUAUUAGAGCUCGAUCAGGUAUGAAUUUCACUCUAAGUAUAUGUGCUAGAGCAAAAGGCUGACUAGACCCUAAGUAUAUGGGUUAGGACUAGUCAAGCACGGUUUGACUUCCAUUCUAGGUAUAUGUGCUAGAGCAAAAUAUUGACUAGACCCUAAGGAUAUGUGUCAGGAUUAGUCGGAUGAACUCUAAGUAUAUGUAUUAGAGUUCGAAUGAACUUGACAUCAUUUGACUGAAUUCUAAGUAUAUGACUUAAAACUCUAUCCAUUUAGAGAUAUUUUCCCUUAGUUAUAUGUACUAAGGUGAUUGACUUAGCCCUAAGUAUAUAUAUUAGGAGUAGUCGAUAUUUAAUUUUCACUCUAACUAUAUGUGCUAGAGUAAAAAAGGUUCAUGAUGAACUUAGAUUUAGUUUAACGACGUUUCGGUCGUUUGGAUUUGGGUUUAGUUUGACAACGUUUCGGUCGUUGGGUUUGGGUUUAGUUUAACGACGUUUCGGUCGUUUGGGUUUGGGUUUAGUUUAACGACGUUUCGGUCAUUUGAAUUUGGGUUUAGUUUAGCGACGUUUCGGUCGUUUGAGUUUGGGUUAUUUAGUUUAACGACUUUGCGGUCGUUUGAAUUUGGGUUUAGUUUAGCGACAUUUCGGUCGUUUGAUUUUGGGUUGUUUAGUUUAACGACUUUGCGGUCGUUUGAAUUUGGAUUUAGUUUAACGACGUUUCAGUCGUUUGAGUUUGGGUUUAGCUUAAUGACGUUUUGAUUGUUUGAAUCGAGAUGUUCAUGAAACUGAUUCAUGAAAUUAAUUCAUGCUAGGAGCCCGUUUGUAAAGUCCAUUGAAUUGAUGAAAUUAAUUCAUGAUAGGGGCCAUUUGGAGAACCCAUUGAAUUAAUUUAUGAUAAGGAGCCAUUUGGAGGGCCCAUUAAUUCAUAAAAUUAAUCUAUGACAAGGAGGGCCCAUGAAAUUAAUUCAUAGAAUUAAUCCGUGAUAAAGGGCCUCUUUGGCAAACCCAUGAAAUUAAUUUGUCAAAUUAAUUCAUGAUAGGGGCCUUUGGAAAGCCCAGGAAAUUGAUUCAUAGAAUUAAUUCAUAAUAAAGGGCCCAUUUAGAUAGCCCAUGAAUUCGGUUUGGGUUGGAGAUAUUUGGAUGACAUAAAUUUAGUUGGAUUUUAUUUAUGGACUUUGGAUCUUGGAUCUUUGGGUUUUGGGUUUUGGGUUUUGGACUUUAUUUGUGGACUUUGGGUUUUGGGAUUUUAUUUGUGGACUUUGGGUUUAGGAUUUUAUUUGUGGACUUUGGAUUUUGGAAUUUUGUUUGUGAACUUUGGGUUUUGGGUUAAGAAAUGAAUUUUUAUUUAUUCUGGGCCCACAUCUACAUAUGGGUUGAGAUGUGCUGCGGGCUUUACAUGUUCUGGGCCCGAACCUGUAUGUGGGCUGGACUUUUAUUGAUUUUGAAUUUAAAUCUGCACAUGGACUGGAUUUCGGGCUUUACAUGUCUUGGGCUUUGAACCCGAAUCUGCAUGUGGACUGAAAUCAGUCUUGGACUUUACAUGGUCUGGGCCCAAAUCUGCAUGUGGGCUGAGACGAAUUUCGUGCUUUAAUGCUCUGGACCUUAGACCCGGAUAUGUACGUGGGCUGGAUUUCGGGCUCUACAGGUUAUGGGCCUGAAUUUGCAUGUGGGUUUGAUGCUUUAUUAUUAUUUUUUUUUUUACUGCUUAUCGAGUUUUUUCAUUGGGCCCAUGAUUAAGUAAUGAAUUGGAUCAUUUUCAAAUUAAAUAGCCCAAAUCCAUUCCCUCAACAACUCUGUAUUUUUUUUUUUUAUUUCUUUUCUUUUCUUUUCUUUCUUUUUUUUUUUGUUGACUAUAAGAGAGAGAGAGAGAGAGAUCCAACCAUAGUUAGUUCAUUCGGAUUCGGCAAAAAUUCGGUACAGGUAUAAUUCGGAUAAAAUUCGUCUUCGAAUUUUUAAAUUCGUUGAAAAAUACGGCUAAAAAACGGAUUUAUCAAUUAUUCGGAUACGUGAUUUAUACGGAUAUUAUACGUUUACUAAUUAAAAAUUCGGGAUAAAAAAUUCGGCUAUUAAAUUAAAUUUUUUUCUCUCAAGAUUUAUGCUAUUAGCAUAAAUAUUCAUAUCUUUUAAAAAUANUAGGUGCAAUGUAGAUAUCAGCAACAUGGUUAGACCGGUUAAAUUGGAUAACCCCUAAAUUGGACCAUUUUUUGUGUUUGUGUGUUUUGCUGUUUUCUUCUCUUUUUUUUUGGUCCAAAUAAACGAAGUUGAUCACGUCGAGCCAUACAAUCGGAUCGAACAAAGAUGGCGAAUCGAAACAGAACCUGUCCAUUUUUUUUAUUAUUAUUUAUUUUAUCACGUUUUGUUCAAGUGUGCGGGAUUUAAUCAUGUCGAACCUAUCACGAAGAUGGCCGCUUGAUUAAUUUUUUUGACCAUGUCGAGCCUAUCACGAAGAUGGCCGCACGAUUUUCGUAGCAAAAUAUCCGAUAUUCGAUUGAUAAUUUCGACCAUGUCGAGCCUAUCGCGAAGAUGGCCGCACGAUUUCGUAGCAAAAUAUCCGAUGUUCGAUUAAUAAUUUCGACCAUGUCGAGCCUAUCGCGAAGAUGGCCACACGGUUUAGAUAAUAAAAUAUCCGGUGCUUGUUCGACCAUGUCGAGCCUAUCACGAAGAUGGCCGCACGGUUUAGAGAUUAGCGAUGCAUACAUAAGACGGAAGCGACGAUUUGAUGUCAGAUUUGAUCGGUUCGAAACCUAUCACGAAGAUGGUCGGAUUGAUCAAACCAACAAAAACCGCACUUACGCUUUUCAUAUACAUGCACAUCUCUUGUUGUCGUAGAAGUCAUUGCAGUUGUCGUUGUCGCGGAAGUCCUUUUUUUUGUGGUACGGACGAAAAGUGGAGGGGUGCAAAUGGCACCCCUCCUCUGCCAGCAAGACCAAAAGGGGCUCCUCCCUUGGUACUUGCACACGAGAGAGAGAGAGAGAGAGAGAGCAGACCCAUAGUGCCCUCCUAGCUCGGGUAAGAGCCACAUUCAUGCGUCGUAUAUCAGCAACAAAUCCCACUCCAUGGUUUGAGGCACGAACGCACGACAUAAUGAUGACAUCACGUUCCUGGCCUUGGAAAGCAUCAACAGUGUUUAUGUAAAUAUCCUUCCCCUCCUCUGAAUUCAAAACAUCCUCAAACUCUCGCUGAAGACACUUUAGUUGCAGUUUGUAUGGUGUAAUAAUGCCAACAGACACUUUUUUCCCACCAUUGGCUUUUAAAAACUUCUGGAGGUGCUCGUACAACCGCAAAGUGAACUGUGCUUCAUGAAUAUUCUGGUAUGAGACUGAUCCCCCUCUGUGGGAUUCCCGACCAUGUACAACGUCAUAAAAUACAUAAGGCUUCAAUAAAGCAUCUCUAUAGUAGGCUUCCUCUGGCGAGUUGGCAACACUUUCGCUAUCCGUAAGGCGACCUUGAUAGAAAUAUCUNGUGUCUUCUCCCUUUUUUUUUUUUUAACUCCAACAAAGUGAAGCCAUAUGACAACUAUAACUGAUUACAUAUGAAAGAUGCACCUGAAAGAGAUUAUAAUGAAGCAGAACUCUUCAUCUUAUAGUGUGAUUUUGGAUCAUGCGGCUCAAAGUGGUUUUCAAGGAGCAUGGGGUUGUGUUGAUUUCUAGAUCCAUGCCAUCCAUCUAAUGCUUUUGAAAACCGUCAUCAUCGUCAAAAUCAUCUUUCGCAUCGUUCAUUGCCAUACAAAAUACUGUGUUCAAUUCCUCUCUAUAUCUUACUUUCCGGCAAUCAUAUACAUCAUAGUUAAAAUCCAAGGUUCACAAUAUUAGGGACGACAUAGAGUCAUCAUGAAUGAAGAUCAGAUAUGGUGCCAUAGAAUAUUGUCAUGCAAAUCAGUAUGUAAUAUAUCCUCCAAACAUAAAAGGUUAGAGAUGUAAUAUAUCCUCCAAACAUAAAAGGUUAGAGCAAACUCGGAUGUAAGAGUAAUGAAACCUGGGUAAAACCAACCCUUAUAGCGGAUUGGGAACACCUUAAACAGGGAGGCUGUCUGCGACCACGAAUAAUGCACCUUGCACGGUUAAUCUUAUUUAGAUUUCCCGUGGAGUAGUAUUCAUGAUUCAGAUUAAUAUUUAAGUAUAUAUGGUUAUCAAGUAUUGUAGACUUAUAGCUUCCAAUAAACGCAAGCGUCUAUUAUUAAUUACCCCUAUAAAAUGUUAGGACACCUUGGAUUAAGAGACUUCUGAAAUAUCAAAAUAGACUGAAAUUGAAUAAAAGAUGAAUUUUAUAAUACAACCCGUUGUAUAGUUACAUAGCUUAACCAGAGGCAUACCCCCAGCAUACAUGAAUAUACUAUAACAUAAAAGAGAAAAUGACGAUCGAUUGAAAUUUGGAUUACACCUUAGUUAUAUAUUUGACUGGGCUCUGAAUAUAUAUUUUAGAGCUCAAUAUAACCACCCUAAGGUGCAGAAUUAACUAAAUCCCAACUGUAUGUAUUAUGACUUAGUCGGAUUUGAAUCGACUAGGCUCUAAUUAUAUUUAUAUAUUAGAGUCCAAUCAGGUUUAAAUUCACCCUAAGAUGAAGUAUGGCUAAAUUCUAAAUGUAUGUAUUAGGCUUAGCUGAAUUUGAUUUAGAUCGACUCUAAUUUUACAUAUUAGAGUCUAAUUGAUUUAGUUGAACUCUAAGUACGUGUAUUAGAGUCCAAUCAUAUUUGAGUUCACCUAAGGUGGAGGAUUGCUAAAUCCUAAAUGUAUAUGUAUUAGGAUUUAGCCAGUUUUGAUUUAGAUUAAAUUCUAAUUAUACAUAUUAGAGUCUAAUUGAUUUAAUUAAACUCUAAGUACGUGUAUUAGAGUCCAAUCAAAUUAUUUUGCUUUAGUGGAAUUUAAUUUAUUAUUCUCUUAUCUUAGUCAAAUGUACUAAGAAAAAGGAUAGUUUGAUUAAUUCAUAUAUGUUAGACUUCAAUUGAGGUUUAAUGCAAUGGCGAUGUGACUCUAGUUUCAUUUGUUAGAGAAUUGGGUUGAAAUAAUUUGUUUCUAAGUACCUGAUGGAAGAAGAGGUUGCAUUAGGUUGUGCAACAUUUGAAUUGGGUUAAACUGGAAUUUUGAUUUGAUUUGGGUUUGAGGUUAGGUUUGGGCUUUGAAUUGGUUAUUAUGGUGUAGGUUUCAUAUAAGGCCUGUCAAAUUUGGAGUGGAUUGGAAUUACUUUUCCCAUUCAAUGGCUUUAAAACUUUAUUACAAUAUUAGAGAAAACAAGGUUACUAUAUACUUGUAUCAGAAAGCUCGAGCAUUCUCCAACACAUCCAAUUUCAAUUGUUUCACGCUAUCCAACAAUUAAAUGCCUCAUAUAAACAUAAAAAUAACACAUCAAUUGGAAGCAGUUUGUUCUAAUUUGAGUGCAAAUCAAGUAAAAGUCCAGUGAAUCAUCUACUGAAAAUAAUCACAAAUGGCAUCAUCUAGAAUAUUUAGUAAAUCAAACAAAAUUCACCAAUCGUGAAGCUGGCCUCUUUGUUCGUUUAGCAACAUGACAAAUUUGAAAGAACAUUUAAACAAAUUUCUAAUAUCCACAAAUUAAAUCUUCAAACUUGAUGCAUGCUCUGUAUCUGUGAAUACAACACAUGCAUACUUUGCAUUAACAAUCUUGGAAAUCACACGGCUGAAUAAAAUUAUCUGAUUGCUCUCCUUUGCUUUUAACUGUGAACUAUUUAAGUGGAGAUGUAAUUCAUGGUAUGAAUAUUACAACAAAGAUCAACAACAGAUCAAAAAAUAACACGAGACAAAAAAAAAAAAAAAAAAAAAAAAAAAAAAAAGGGUUACAGAGCAAACAUUUUCACCCUGCGGCAAAGUAAUUACUACACUACUCACAGGAGCAUAUAACUACAAUCCCACCUGUAACUCAUACCAAUUCCAUCAGAAGGGGGUCUCCAGAAGCCAUGACUCUAAUUAGCUUUAUGAAAUCCAACUCAUUCUGCACCUUUACGGGAUACACUGCGGGCGCUUGAGCUGUAUAAAUAGCUGAGAAAGACUCAUUAGCCAGCAAAUUUGUCCUAUAAACUGCCUUUGCCAAAGCAUCAGAGUCGAUAUUUUGAUCCGAAUCCAUUGCCAGAAAAAACAUUGGAACUGCAAUCUUGUGAUGAAUGUCGACAUCCCCAACUAGACCGACAAGGUCAGAGAAGUCACCAACGAAUCUUCGAGGAAUGUAGAAAAGUUCGCUGCUGCAAUAUAUGAGCUUAUCUUCGCCCAUGGUUUCUUUGUAACUGACCUGGAAGUGUACGGGGAAGUUGCCCACGACUUUCUUUACGAGGUCCCCUUGCUUUGCAAACCAAUCAGAUCUGUCACUGCCAUUUAGUGGAACAGUAAUCCAAGAUUGCGUGACCUGGAGAAAAAGGAUAAUUAGAUGAUGGCGUAUUGUACCAGGAAUAAAGAAAAUUUUUAAGUAGAAGAAAUAAAAUGUAAGUUACAAUACUAUGAUGCAUACCUUCUUGGUUAUCCACAGCUUAUUCUUGUCAGCUUGUAGAAGAUUCCAAUAGUUUAUGAUUAUAUCAUCUUGAAGGAACAAGAAUCCUUCUGCGCCAGUGAAUUGAUCAAACACCUUGGGCAGGAACCUUUAAUACAAACAUAGCAGGUUUUAGUUGUAGUGAAGCAGAUCUCAACACAGAACGUAAUUAUGUAUCAAUUACAACAGUUUAGCUGUAAAACAAUUUCUUUUAUUCUUGGUCCAUCAGAAGCUAGAUUAAAAAAAAUUAAAAAUAUUUAGAAUGAUUACUGAUAGAUCACAUUUAGAAAACAACAAAUACGUAUACAUCUUUUGCAAUAUCAUGCCAGAAACAUAUGAUCUUUGACAUCAAAAUUAUCAAAUGACACAUGACAAGCGAUCAACCGACUUAUCCUAAGACCAAAAACAAGAGGAACGUCAAGCAUUAUUGGCUGAAUCAAAAAACAAAGUAGGGGAAAACUUCUGAAUCCCAAAAUUGAAAAGUCAACCAGAACUUUUGUUCCACUGACAUUGCAGAGAAUGGUAACUAAAAAUUAACAAGAUUUGCAUACAUCCUAGCCAAUAUGAGCACCUAAUUUGACCCAUUGACUGUCAAUUUGAACGGAUAUUCAGCCCAAUAUGAAUGACCUUCUCAUGAUGUAUCAGUCAUCCAUAUUAUUAGAAGCAGCAGUGAAGUAGGCCUAAAGUAGCUGUAAUGUAGUCAACAAACUUUAUAUUGCGUUUAAAUGUUAUCCGUCGGACCAUCACAUUUCAUCUUCACCGAAACCACCCAAUUGAACAGCUCAUCGUUUUGCUUCGUAGUUGUCAUCCACCAGCUGAUCUAAAUGCAUAUUGGUCAGAAGCAAAAAGAGAACACUUAUUGGUUCAAGUUCCUUCACCAACUUCACCUGAAUGCUAUAUAGCCCGCUUAUAGGGACAUCUACAGGAAUUUUUAGCUUCGGGAACAUGAAUGCCAGCUAAUCUGAUAUUCUGCCUAUUAUAUUGUACUUUGAAGCUUGCAUGGCAAUCAAGGUUGUAAAUAGCGGAUAGCGGGUACAUAGCGUUUGGAGAGUCUCAUAGCGGAAAGCGGAUAGCGGGUGCUACAGCAGGCGCUAUGAAUCCAUAGCGGGUUUCAUAAAAGCAAAUUUAAUAUGUUUAUACUCCUUAUAAAAAUACAUAUAAUUUUGAAGAAAAGACAACUAAUUAUUCUCUUUUUUUUUCCGUAUUGCAAGCCUACAUAUAUUUAAUAUCAUUAUCUAUUAAGAAUUUAAGAUUAACUUUAUUUAGCAAACCAAAAAGACAAAAUUUGAAAAUUUAUAAUCCAUUAACAAUCUAAACAAUUUGUAGAUGGAUGUCAAAAAGGAUAUCUUAGGUAAAUAGUUAUCUUCCAAACCCUUAGAAACAGGGUUUGAUAUUUAUAUUUCAUUUAAGAAUCCAACCCGAUAAGCUAUUUUAACUCGUUUGCACUUUUUAAAAGUUUGGGCUCACAGCGCCUCGCUUUCCAACCGCUUUAUAGCGGCUGCUUUAGCGGGCCCUCUGCCGCUAAAGCGGCCGCUAUGAACCCGAUCUGCUAUAUACCGCUUUACAUAUUUUAGCAUAGCGGUAGCACAUAAAAUCCGCUAUAGCGGCCGCUAUCCGCUAUAGCGGCCGCUAUGGCAGGCAUAGCAGCCGCUAUUUAAAACACUGAUGGCAACAGCUUUUCCCCGAACUGUUUUGCAGAUCUAUACUCAAUAGUAUUCUAAAAAGGAUUUGGGGCAACCACAAAGUGGUUGGCCACUUGAUCAACCAUAAUACUUUGCCUUUGGAGCUAUCUAAGAAAUCAGUCAACUAGUCAAUCCAACUGAUAAAGAUGUUUCUGCUAAUAGUGUUUUUGGCAUGUUUCAAAGAAAAGAGCCUAGAAGUUAACUUAAGAUUCUACACUUCAUUUGUCCAUAUUGUAUGGCAAAACCUCAACCCAAGUCUUACGAAGAUAGUCAAGGCUAGACUUUCUAACCCUCGAAGAAGAUCAUCAAAAAACUAGAUGGAUUAGAACAGACGAGUAUAAGAACUUCCUCUCGAAUCCUGAAUGCCUAGAGUGCCCUCAUACUAAGAAGGAAAGGGCAUCCCAAAGCUCUAGAUAUUAGUUGAUCACCGAAGAUAACGACCUUCUAAUUGUUCAAAAGUUUAUUCUACCAGUGCAUGCAGUUAUCAUCAUAAGAAUAUGACAUGUCAAAGUGCAACUGAUUAUCCUUUCAGAUCAAACUUCUUGAUCCUAUAAUUGUUUAUUAGUUAUUCUAAGUCAAAUAUCAAAAGGUGUGGCGAAAAAUCCAAAAAAUCCAUGACCAAACCAGAAUAGUAAGAAGAAAUCUAAUAUUACAUAAGGACUAGAAGGAAAUUAAUUUAGCUGAACUUUUUCAUUUGGAUUCUCUCUUUUGAUGGUUUAAGUACGUCAAAUAGUGAACUAUGACGGCUUAUCUGUUUAUGCAAAAUUUAGUGAAAAUGGAGUUAUCAUAUCAAUUCCAGAAUGUUAAAGACCAGCUCAUAGACUUGACAAAGGAGUGAAGUAGAAGAAGCCAGGAGAAGACAUUGUGAAGCACUGGGUUGCGCUGAGGAAUUGGAAGAUAGCAUCUCAUCUGAUUCAUAGAAGAAAAAAAGGAAAGUGAACAAGAAGGGAUAGUAAAUCUUCAAUAUGUCAUGCUUUGCCCUCAAGAAUCCAAUUGAACUAAAGUAGGCAUAUUUUAACAACCCAAAGAAGUAACAUUAAAGUCAGACGACAUGUUUGCCACUUGCAAGUAGGAAUGCAAACAUUCAAACAAAUAGGCUACCUAAUAAUGUCACACUUUUCGGAAUGAAGGACAAUCCUUCAGAAGUCCUAAUAAAUGUAAAAACAUCGUGACAAAAUUUUUGAGAUGCAGAUGCGUCAAUCAAGCCAAUAUGCAUGAAGCUCUGAGAUCUGAUUUUAAGGGAAGAAAACAAAUGUGAAAGGAAAUACAUAGAAAAACCAUAAUGCCUAGAAAAGUAUGCAAGUAGCCUCAUGAAUCUGUAUAGUAUAACAUACAAUAUGCAAACAUCAAUGCUGAGUAUUGAUCUAAACUUAAAUUUUUGGUUGCAAUUAGUAGAAGGCAUGACAGAGGACCUGCUAAGGCAUUAAUUGCGGAUCAAAAUUUAUGUGAGCUGAAGCUGCAGCAUGGCAUUGAUAAUAUGUCUCACAAAAAUAUCAAAGAUUCACUUACGAUCACGAUCACACUUGAAAAUAUUUACAUGAAAAUCUAAACUGAUCUCUGAAAGGUUUGUUAGAAGAAACUGUCAGCUGAAAAUAAAUCUUAGAAAAACUAUAAGAGACUGCACAGUGAAUAAUGCUGUAGCAUACCACUGUAGCAGUACUCUUCAAAGUAUUGGAUCUAGGAUCCUCAUAUAGCUGAGACCUUACCCUUCCUGGCAGCUCACGCAUAAGGAAAGAUGAAUGCACCUUGCCUUACAUCCAAACAGAACACAUCAGCAGGUAUAGCUAUACGUGGGACUUCAGUCCUUAAGUAACCUAACUUUGGCAAUUCAUCGUUUGGUAAGUUCCUAAAUUACCCAAAAUAUGAAACCAGCCCCUGAUUGUUAUAAUUUGGUCAAACUCAACUGAGCUUGACUGAACACUCCGCAAAACUAGAAAACAAAUCCCAAGUGACUGAAGUAAUAUUGAAAUAUCCUGGUCUAUCAAUUAUGCUCAUCCAAUUAAAUCCAUAAGCUCUAUUGUCGCUGACGUCAGCCUUCUAUGUUUAGGUACAAUCCAAAAGAAAAUUUUGUAAUGCAAAAUAGAUAAGCCUUAUCCAACUAUAAGAUCCAAUCUGAAGGACACCUAACAAAACCAAAACCAUCAUAAAGCCCAAAAGAAAUCAUGCCAAAAGAAAGAAAAUUAAUCCAAGUCCAUAUAUACAAAAGACAAAUCAUGAAAUUAUAGUUCAAUGAAUUACUCAAAAUGUAUAUCUUUAAGCUAAACCAACAACAUCAAGAAAUUUAAGAAGACAUUCAAAGAACUAGUGAGUUCACAAAUAAGCAUUAAAGUCACUAUGAGGUGAAAAAACCAUAUGUGAUGUAUUUACAGUGGAACCAGUUUCCCUACUGGGUCCUCUCGACGUAUAUAAGUAUAUAACAAACCUCCUGCAAAUGAUAUACUAUAGCUCUCCACAGGUUUCACAGGUUCCUACUUACAUGUACUUUCUAGUCCCAGCCUUUCGCUCAUCGAUCCAAGUUCUACUAACGUACAGAUCACCCUUGUUAACAACCAUGUGAAUGCUGAAAACAUCCUCAACUUUAAUGGAUCUCUGAAUACAGACACGAGUUGCACAAAAUGGUCUUUCAAUAGAGAAGAAUCACUAAGGAGAAUUCACUAAGUGAUAGCAGUAAUUUCAGUAUCUCUAUGUGCAUCCAAUUUCAUGAUGAAUAAAUAGACAAUGCAGUAGAUAAUGUGGAACUUAAAAUUAAUCAGAAGCGUCAAAUCAUUGAAUCUGCAAAGUUUGGUGAUUACAAUUUUAAUCUAAUGAAAUAAACAUUGAUAUCAUGUAGUUGCAAGCAGCAAUUUGUGACUGUUAAAAAGUACCAUAUUGCAAACAGAGACGUCUAAUUAGAAAAGUAACUCACUUGUAUGCUUGUGCUAAGUGGCCAUAUUCCACAGCAAGAUCUGAAUUGCUCUGUUCUGCCAUAAUGACCACCGUCUUGAAGAUCCGGCCGUAGAGCAACCUCCACUCAAGCGCAGUCCGAUCCACAGGCCCACUGCAAUGCAUGAUCAGCACGACGUUUCCGAAGUGCUUCCUCCACCUAAUCAGAUUCCCAAUCUCAUAGUUCACCGUUCCAGUCUCCUCCACGCCAAGAUGGACCGAGGGCAACUUCUUGGGGACAAACUCCCUCCGAUCUCCGUGCCCGAUGGUCGCCCUCGGCCGAUCAAUCUCCAACGACAUCAGCCUCGGCUGCCGAUAUCCAACCGAGAGCAGGUCCUGCAGCCAAGCCGCCGUGAACUUCACAUCCUGCUCCCCCCAGAAGCCCUCCUCCGCCAUCGCAUAGCUUAGAUGAAGUAUCCGCUCAAACAGCGUCUGCUUGUUGGAUCUCCACGAGAUGAGGAACUUGAUAAGACGGCCGACAUUGACAUGGAGGUCCUUCUCCUCUGCGAAGGGGUAGGACUCCGUCUUAUCCAUUCGGUGGAUUGUUGGAGGAUAAACAGCAACGAAGCCGCCGAUCUCCCACAGGAUCCUCUGCGCCCAGUAGCCUCUGAUCACGUCGGACGCCAUGGAGCUGACGGAGACAGGGAGCAUGAGGCCCCAGAAGGCCUGCGUGUGGAAGAUCGUAUUGAACGAAUUCACGGGAACCAUGAGGCCCUGGGGCAGGGCAACCUUGGGCGCAUCCUCAUCGAACCGGAUGUCGAAGCCCUCCAGCCCAGAGGACUUUCGGGUGAAGUAGAAUACGGAGUCGAUAUCGGGCAGGCCGUUGGACAGGCCCUGCUGGAUGAACUGCCGGCCGCUGAACACCUCGGUGUAGAACUCCUCGUGGGCAACCUCGCCGACGUUCUCAAGCGGCAGGCCGCGGGGCCACACGGAGCGCUGGCCGAAGUGGAUGUACGGGUUGACGACGGUGCGGUUGGGAUUGGCGUGGCUGUACUGGAGCAGAACGGGGUGCCUGGCGGCGGUGGCCUCGCCGACGAGGUCGACGUCGAAGUGCUUACCGAGGUCGUCGCUCAGGACCUCGGCGCGGGCGUCGGCGUCGAAUAUGAUCUUGGCGCCGUGCUGGAUGGCGAAGAGGUAGCCGGCGGUCUUGCGAGCGAGGGGGGAGGAGUAGGGCAGGAAGUCGAGGGAUCGGAAGCCGAGCAGGGCCUGCCGGUCGAGGGAGAGGAAGAUGGCGCCCUUGAGGGACCAGCCGGCGGGGGUGCGGGAGUCGCCGACGGCGAGGAGCUGCCAGCCCUUGGUGCGGGCGAGGGCGCGGAGGGCGCCGGUCGGCCGGGACGACGAGGCGGCAACGACGAUCCAGCGCUCGGAGCGGAAGGAGGCGUAGCGAUCGGAACCGCCGAGGGGCCGGACGGGCGGGACGGCGGCCCAGUCGAUCCGGGGGUAGGGGGCGCGGCUGCCGGCGGUUCGCGAAGCGGAGAGGGUCUUGUCGAGGCAGAGCAGCGCAGCGGUGUCGCCGGCGCUGCGGAGGAAGAAGAGGGCGGCGACGGUGGCUGCGAGGACCAGGACAGCCAGGAUCUUGUAGAAGUUCUCCGAGGCCCAGGUGGAGAAAUCCAGGUUCUUCGCGAAGCGCUGGUGAUGCCGAGGAGAAGCUGGAGAUGCAGGCGACGAGGGCUUGGGAGCGGCCCGAUCUUGGACCAGCAUUUCUAGAUUUAUUCUAAAUCUAGGGCGAUCCAAAGAAAAUGGAGCACUCCGCGAUCAAGAGUGGCGGUGUUGUUGUUGUUGUUGUUGUUGUUGUUGUUGUUGUUUUCCUUUGUUAACAAGCUCGCUCUCACCUUCUGUCGGUGUGGGUAAUAAUUCUUGGUAUUAAGGAGGAAGGAGGAGGAGGAGGUGUGAGUGUAGCGGUUGGUGGGAAGGCCCCUCUUUCUUUCAGUUGAGGUUUCGCUUUCUUUCUUUAUCCCCCUCUCUCUUGGCGGUAUGCUAUGUGUUCAUUGUGGGUUACUCCAAGUCCAACUCCUCCGUUUGCAGCAACAGCUCCUCCCUCUCCAGCGGCCAGAUGAGGAAACAGAGAGCAUGAAGAAUUAGAUUCGAUAUUUUCUGAUUUAUAUAAAAAAAAAAAAAAAUUCUCUUAUUUGUGUUCCUAAUUUACAGAGCAUGUGCGCUCUAUUUGCGGGUGUUGAGAAGAAGGGCAGAGCACUGCUGCAGCUCAGCAAGUCAACUGCAAGCCGCUUCGAGAAGUGUCGGUGUGGCGAUCUCAAUCGUGUGGGUGCGGAAGUAUCGGUUAUCGGGUCGGAUUCACAUCUAGAAUCGAUGGGCUGGGAAGAAAUAUAUCUUUUUUUGGGAUUGCCAAGAGUGUGCACUGUGUAUGGUAGAAAAACGCGCAGUAAAAAAAAUUUUAGACUACAGUAAAAACUUUUUUUGUCCUUUCACGUGUCUCAAUUACCAAUAUUAAAGUAUAUAUAUUAUGUCGUAGCCGAUAUAACUGGAGUGGUGAUACAAUAGCUUCAUCAGAUCUUAAAAUAGCUUCUCCUCUCUUGUGUCGCUGCAACACCUAACAUCCUAACCCAUGAUUCACCAUCCAAUAAGGUACACCAUAUGAUGAGUGCGGUAACAUUGCAUCUUCUUUGCACCACGAUGAUAAAGAAAUUGCGGGCUAAUCCCACUUUAUUUUGCUAACUAUAAUGUACUGAAAUUCAGUAUAAUAUACCAAACUUUAACCAAAUUAGAAAUGUGAAGAUUAAAAUCAUAUUAAACAUGAUUAAAAUAGGUUUGGAGAAAUUUGGGCCGUGUUUGAAACGAGUUAGAAUCAAUUCAUCAAAACGGAGCUUUGAAAGAAGUAAAAAUUUGACGCCCGAAAAAGUAUUUCGCAUAGCCAAAAUCUUUCGAAUCAUCCGACCAAGUGCCCGAUUCUAGCAAAUGCUCUACCGCAAGCAAGGGUUUUGUCACGCCCCGGGACUAGACGGAGGCCCGCCCGGUGCGUGUCCAGACCCGCCAUAUGUCUGCACAUAUAAGGCGUCUACAAUAAGGCGAUAUAAAUAAUAAUAAUAAGCAAAUAUCUAGAGAUAUCAGAGUAAGUAGCAGCUAAAUUCUAACAACAAGUAGAAUGAAAGAACACUAAACCAGUAUGAUAAAACAUAGAGUGAUACAUCGUAAUGUCUCUGUUGAGCGAAUUAGGUGCGGACAGGUGGUACGCCGGUAUUCCCUUCAAAGGCAUCAAUCUGGCCGUGCACCAGGAGCACCGGAAAAGUUUUAAAGUAAACCGUCGCGCCAAUUGAAGGAAGUUACAAUAACUGCAUGCGGUUCCGAUUGGCUGGAGGUGGUCCUGGAUAUUAGGAGAUAGUUGGCGAUCGUGUAAGAGCAAUAAUUGAUCACGGGGCGAUCUAUAAAUAGAUCAACAACGCCCUAAAAAAGGGUCUUUUCUCCUGUGAACAAAAGGCCACCCUUAAUUCCUCGCAAUUUUUUGCAUUUUCUAGGAGUAGUCUACUUGUAACUUUUCUCUUCCAGUAUUUACUGUUCUUUCUAGGAGUAGUCCGCAAAGUAGAUCAACCGAGUUGCAUGCCAUCCGGCACACUCGACCCAUGUACUUCCUUCCACUCAAUAUAAAGGCAUUUCGGCUCUUGAAGCCGAUCCAUUCCUUUGUUCUCUAAUCAUUCGGCUCCUCGGCCGACUUCGGUUCUUGUUCGGUCCGUACACUCGGCUCAUCCCGCUGAACCAAAUUUACUGUAGAAGUUUCGAACCCGGCUGAUUUGAUCCCUCAUCAGCCUAAUCGUUUGAUCAUUCGAAUGGCGCAAACUUCGAGGGUCAAUACCAUAAGCCGUUUCAAUCCCGACACGCUUUCGAGAAAGGUCUUUGAUCGGGACAAGGACCGGGGAUUGUGGCUACCAACAAUUUUUGGCACGCCCAGUGGGACACAUUUGAGGUAACUUUUAUUUUUAUUAAUAUAAUGACUGACGAUAAUGCCAUGAACUUACGUAAUAAGGCCGUUCCUAGAAAUUCUGGGAGUGAACAGCCCAUCAAUUCAGAAAAUAUUGCCGAACGCCAAGCGGUUUUGCCUGCUGAAGGUGAAACUAGCGGCCAAUCCGGCCAGCAAGAGCCUAGUUUGGCUCAGGCGCUUGGGCAAAUGACUCGAGUCCUGCAAGUUCUAGAUCAAAAUAGUCAUGCUAGUACUGCAGAGCUAGACGCAGUAUUGGUCGCAAUCACGGCCUCUAAUGAGAAUAUUGCUCGAAUAGAGAAAUUAUUAACUCAUAAUGAACAACCGAUAGCAGGUUUACAAGCGCAUGUGAUUACACCAGUGUUACAAAAUCCCGUAACACCGGUAAAUGGACAGCCCCAAUACAAGGGGGCACCUUACCAAGCAGCUUAUAGACCGGCUGUCGUUAAUGCUGAUCAACAGCCAGAGAUAGCAUGGGGGUUAUCGCCUCCUCCACCAGUAGCAGUAUAUCAGCCCCAAAAUGUAGGGGCUAGGGGGCAGGCUCCAAAUGUACAAGGGGUUAACGCUGUGGUACAAAAUUUCGGUCUGCCGCAAGGACCGAAUCAAGCACAAGCGCAAGUCCCCUUACAGGGGAUUAAUAAUGAAAUAUAUGCACAGAUCGAGGAAGCCAUCCGAAAUACCUUCGGAGAAGGCGCAAGGCCGGCAAUGCGGCUUGUAUUCAGAUCACCUUACCCUGCGAAUAUAGACGCAAAACACCUAUACCCGACAAAUUGGAAAAUGCCAAAGUUCGACAAGUUUUCUGGGGAUGAGACCGAAAAUACGGUCGAGCACGUAGCGCGGUUUACAGCACAAUGCCGAGAAGCCGCAGCAGACCUAUUUUUGAAGUUAAGAUUAUUCAAUACCUCGCUGACCAAAACGGCUUUCACUUGGUAUACAAGUUUGCCGGCUAAUUCUAUCCGAGAUUGGGACGAAUUAGAAGAAAAAUUUCAUGAACAAUUUUAUAGAAUGGAACUGAAAUUAUCGGUUGCCGAUUUGGCUCAGUUCAAACAGAGAACGGGCGAAUCGGUUGAAGAAUAUUUGAAUAGGUUCAAAACGGCUAGGAGCUGCUGCUUUGUGAGAAUGCCAGAGUCAGAAUUUGCUAAAAUGGCAUUUAAUGGCCUGCAUUUCAAAAUUAAAGAUCAUUUCGAAGACAAAUACUUUCCAAAUCUUUUCGAUUUGGGAGUUCGGGUUGAUCAAUGAGAGUAAUUCCGAAAGGUAAUAAUGAAGAUCGGCCCAGAUGGAGUUGAAAUAAAGAGUGGAACAAAGAGAAUGAGAAAAUUAUCUCAUUCCUUGAAGAGUCUUGGGCCCAUGAAGAGCCGAAUUUAUCUGAAGAGACUGAAGAUUCAGCUGAUGAAGCCGAAAUAUAUGCAGCCGAGAUUGUAAAAAGUCGACAGCCAUACAAAUGUGCUUUGUUGAAGCCCGCUAAAUCAAGCGAGGCAAAAGCACAUGUUUCGGCUUACACAUAUUCUUUCGAUGUAUUGAAAACCGAUCUAAUUUUUGAUCGACUGUUGAAAGAUGGUCGAAUUCAACUACAAGAGGGUCAAACAAUACCCCUUGUAGAAGAAUUAAAGCGUAGACGAUAUUACAAAUGGCACCACUCAUGGAGCCAUAAGACGAAUGAAUGUACUGCCUUUAAGAGGCAGAUUCAAAAAGAGAUAAAUGAGGGUCGGCUCAUAUUUACCGACCAAGAAAAUAAAAGUAUGAAAAUUGAUACGAAUCCUUUUCCAUCCCAGGUCAACAUGGUGAAUAUGAAAGGAAAAGAAAAGACGACUGCAAAAAGGCAGAUCCAAGAAGAAAUAGACGAGGGUCGACUCAUUUUAGCCAAUCAAGAAAAUGAGGAUUGACAAAAAUUUGUUUCCUUUACAGGUUAACAUGGUGAAUGCUAAAGGAAAGGAGAUUGCGGACAAGACGACCUUAGAAAAUAUUGCACACGCCAAAAGAAAUCUUUGGCUUUGCAUAAGAUGUAAAGUCGAAAUGACAAAGAAAGAUUGGGAAGCCAUCGUCAACGACAAGAAAAAAGGCAACGAAUGGAAUGAAUUGAUAGUAUUCCCCGAGGAAUAGGAUGACAUUCCUGAAGGAGAUGAUCAAGAAGAAGAUGGCUCAGAUGAAGCCUCCAACGAGACGGAACCGCAAGUCGAUUCGGUUCAACACAAAAAAGACUUAUUGAUGCAGAAAGUUCUGCAUGACUACUAUCACAACCGACAAGGUGAACGUCAUAGCCGAUAGAAUUAUCCAGAAAAACCAUUCGGCUCAAAGCAAAGGUUUCCUGGGUAUCAGCCGCACUGGCAGCAUCAAGCCAGGCCGAGACCAGAACCGGAGUUCGAAGGAAUGACUAACGGAGACAUAGAAUUCCUUGGUCAAAGAUUGGUUAAUGAGCUCGGCAUUCAGCCCUGGCCGAGACCUUAGGAGAUGAGAGAAAUCUUAAAAAAUCAUUUAAGAAUGGUGAAGGUACCGGCAAAUGUGCCGGUAGACAAAUGGCACAAAGUCGAAGUAAAACCAUCGGCCAGAUGGCAAGGGCCGAUGUUAAUAAAAACUCAAAAACGUCGGCAGCAAAGGAUGUAAGCCGAGGCGAUGCAACAGUACGACGAAGCGAAAGGGAUAAGACUGAAUGUGUGCGAACCACCACACCCUUUUCGCCCGAUGCGAAACGACCAUGAAGCAGGUGGCUCAUCGCCUGUCCCUUGGUUAAAAUCAAAGAUCGAACGGCCGGUCUCGGCCGAACUGGAGGAGAAGAUGACCAGGAGGGAGUUAGAGGACAAGAUAGCCUCCCUCGAGACAAUCAUUAAACGAGAGAGAUGGCCUUCUAAGAAGAGGGAGGUACGGUUGGAAAGCGAUUCCUCGGCCGAGACGGCUAAGGAGUCCGAAGAAAAGAAACAAAGGAUUCAAGAAAAAUCGUCUGAUGAAGGACCAGCCAAUGUCAACAUGGUUUAUACGCUGCCACAGUCCUUUAAAGCAGAGUAUACUGAGUAUGAGGAGAUGGGGGAAGAAGUUGGGCUCAAUGUGGCCCAAUUACAACUAGAGGAUGCCAAACCGGCCGAUGCAGUGGUUUUCGAGUAACCAUCAGCCAUAUAGACGAGGUUCAUGAGGCCUUUGUUAUUCAAGCCGCCCGAAGCAGAGCGAGAUCAAAAAUACGAUCAGUAAACUGAUCCCAAAUUGUGGCAUAGCCUUCGAGAGCUACACCUGUGUAAUUUGGCCUGAAGCUUACUAACUUGAAGAACCGUCGAAGACGAUUCCCCAUAGUUGAGAUAUUGUCAGCUUCGGCUAUACCUUUGGUAGGAGGUCGAUAAUCGGCCGUAUUGGCCGUAAAGAAUUUAGACGGAGCUGGAAUCGACUGAACAAAUCCAAAUUGGCGGGCCACAUAUUGAGGGGAAUAAACGUCAGUAUUGGGUAAUAACUUUGAACGCAAUUUGAGCCCCAUAUGAAGAUCCCUGGAAGCCAAAUAAGAAUACCAUACUUCUGAGUACUCACUCGUGUGAGAAGAAGCUAGUUUGCCUUGAAUAGCCUCAAACCGAGCAAGGAACCACGAGAGGCCAGUAAGACGAUCAACAAAAGGAGCCCAGGAAAUAGCUGAGUCAGGAUUCGGCUCAUAAAAAGUUUUGAAAUAAGUAAGAAAAUCAGAAGGUUGACCCGAAGUCAUCGGCUGUGGACAGCCGAGAGCUAGCCCAUAAGAAUCAAAUUGGGCAGCUGAAAUCAAAUUAAAAGGAGAUUGACAAAGAGCAGGAAUAUAAAACUGCAGAAACAUUUGCAAAAAUCAGAAAACGUCGCAACCAGAGCUGAUGGCAAUACCAUCUCCAGAAGGCAGCAGUUUGAUGAAAUCAAAAAUUUCUCUAUAAACAAAGGCAAGAAAAUAAGGCCCUAGAGCUAAUCUAUCGCCGUUAGACAGUCCAACGGCGAUUGGAACAAAAUCACAAUUGAUCUUCUGCGAACGAGUGCAGAAAAGAUUAUGACACAAUCAAUAUAGGAGGAACGCUGUAUGUUCUUUCCUAGUGACAGGAGCAGGGGAUUCACCUGCAAACUUGUAGAUAAACUUGGAAUAGGCCAAGUCAUUGGGUCUAGAUAAGCCUCAAAAUUAGAUACGCCGUCAGGAUUAUAAAAAGUGGAGACAGCAACUCCAUGAGGGCGUAAGCCGAUAAUGACAGCAACAUCAAAAAGUGUGGGAGUGAGAGGCCCUCUUCUGAAAAGAAAAAUAUUAGAAGCAGGGGACCAAAAACAGAGAGCGGCGGCUAGAAGAAGGUUAUCGGCUAUAAGAGGGUGCCUAGACAAUUCAAUCGCUUCAUAAAUACCUACUUCCCACCAAAAAUCACCAAAGGCGGCUUCUACCCUAUCUAACCAGGCCAAAUAUGGCUCUGAGAUGCUUGGCCAGGUUCGAAGACUCUUUCCUGUCGAAGCUGAUGAGUACCAAUACUGAAGAUAAGUGGCUUUUCUCAGGGGAAGUCCAUCACUAGUAAAAUGGAAGUCAGCAGGGAAUGGCUCGUCUGUAAGAGAAGGACCUAAAAUAAACCGAGAUGGGUCUAAAUCAACGAAAGAUUUUAGUAUAGUAUAAUCUAGAGACGAGUGAGAAGGAAGAGGGGCAACCAAAGCCAUUAGUUAGAAAAGAAGAAGAGAAUGAGCAGAAGCUAUGAACGAAGGAUGGAGAACAGAGAAGUCAAAGAAGAAAUAAAGAGAAGCGAAAGAGAAGUUUCGUCGGAGAAGACGAGAAAGAAACAAAAAAGGAACAGAAAAGACAAAAGGAAUGAGAAGCUUGGUGAAGAAGAAAAGGCUGUCGCGUCGAACUGUCGCAUCGAAGCGAGUUCCGAGAGCGACUAUAAUGAUGAAUAGACGGCGGUAAUUAAGAUGACCUAAUUAAUGCCGCAUAUAAGACAAAACUAGAGGGCGAGAUCGGGGCCGCAAAAAAGAAAAUGGACAGCCAAGAUUAAACCGUGCAUAAGAUCACGCCUCGGAUUACGUCAGUGACUCGUACAGAGAAUUUGAAUUUAAUUGGAUCGAGAACCACGCCUCGGAUCGCUUUUGUUAUUGAAGCGAUGGCAGGAUUUCGGCAGGCGAAAAAGUGGACGGUUAAGACGAAACCGUACCAAGAGUUUGAAAAGUAAUCGCGCCUCGGAUCAUGCCAGCUACCGAAGCAUUACUUCAAAAGCUGCCGAGGGGGCAAUUGUUGAGCCAAUUAGGCGCGGACAGGUGGUACACUGGUAUUCCCUUCAAAGGCAUCAAUCUUGCCGUGCACCAGGAGCACCGGAAAAGUUUUAAAGUAAACCGUCGCACCAAUUAAAGGAAGUUACAGUAAUCGCAAGCAGUUGCAUGCGGUUCUGAUCGGCUGGAGGUGGCCCGGGAUAUUAGAAGAUAGUGGUGGAUCGUGUAAAAGCAAAAACUGAUCAAGGGGCGAUCUAUAAAUAGGUCAAUAACGCCCUAAAAAAGGGUCUUUUUCCCUGUGAACAAAAGACCACCCUUAAUUCCUCGCAAUUUUCUGCAUUUUCUAGGAAUAGUCUACUUGUAACUUUUCUCUUCCAGUAUUUACUGUUCUUUCUAGGAGUAGUCCGUAAAGUAGAACAACCGAGUCUGCAUGCUAUCUGACACACUCGACCCCUGUACUUCCUUCCACUCAAUAUAAAGGCAUUUCGGCUCUUCAAGCCGAUCCAUUCCUUUGUUCUCUAAUCAUUCGGCUCCUAAGAAAAAUUCUUAGAUAUUCAUAGAUAUUCUAAUUGGCACGCUAGACCAUGAAACAAACUCAAAAAGGGAAUUGAAGACGUAGGGGGGAGUUCACUAAUUUCGAUUAGGUCGAGCCCGUCAGAUAGUUGCUAAAAGUCGUCUGUUUCUCAGAUUAAAGUUUUCUUAUUUUCCUUUGGCCCUAAGAAAAAUUCUUAAUAGGUCAUAACCACUUAAAAACCUCUCCACGAAAUUCACCAAAAAUCACAUAAAAAAUAAAUAAAAAAUAUCUCAAAGCAAUAAAUCCUUGCUAAUCCUCCAAAUCAAGUCAAUGGGGCUUCAAUUUCAACAUACAUAUUCUAAAUGCAUCAAUUUUAUCCCAAAAGCCCUCAUUUGAAAAUUCCCAAAAUAAACCCUACUUUCAUCAAAACUAGAAAUAGGCUGUAACAAAAUACCCAUAAGUCCUCUAAAUUUCAAAAAUUAUAAGCUGUGCGGAAACAUAUUCUGCAACAUUAAGUACCAUUACUCGAAGCUGGGUAUUUGUACACGACCACUGUGUUCUGAUACUAAGUGUCAGUUCUGCAAAACUCAAACCCUGUACAUAGUUGGUUUCUACUGCAUAUGGGUACUCCAAACAUUAAUAUCGGUACUCCCAAACAUCAAUACAGCUACUCUUAGUUUCACAAAAUUCUAGAGUUUACCAACCAGCUUUCUACUAUGUACUAGUACACCACUCCCACUAUCGAUACGCUAUACCGAAACUACAACCUUACAGAUUUUGGUCUUCGAAGUACUUUUCGCGUCGUUUUUGCACCAAAAAUGCUCGUAUGCUCUCCAAACUCGGUAAAAAAACCUGAAUAGUAUUAAAUCCUAUUUAUCUCACUAGAACUUUACAAUUUGCCCAAGUCUAGUAUGCUACACACUCUUUCUCUCUCUACUUUCUUUUUCUAAAGAGAAAAGAAAAUCCUAGACUCCUUUUUUGGAUCUCGGAGCUCCAUCUCCUAGCAAGGUUGGAGAAGGAUAAGAGCACUUGGAGGGAGCCCUAGAAAGGAGGAGACAAGCUUCCCACACUUCAUUUCCCUUGUUGAGAAUAGUAACGGUAAGUUGGUUUCAGAGUUUAAAUUAAAUGUUUUUGUCUUGCCUUGAACGGUGCUAGGAGUUUUUCUAAAUAAGGGUUUUAAAGAUUCUAGCUUGGUUAGAAUUUUCUUUUUAGGACUUUUUUUGGGAGCCACAAGAGCCCAAGGGAUAUUUUCCAGAGAGUUUACAAAUCGAAGUGUGGAACAUCACUAAAAUAGGCUUAAUAUCCCCUUCAUCUAAAGUAUUCCUAUUUCUAUGCAUAUAGCUUAAACUUUCAUGUUAUCUUAGUAGCAUUCUUCAUGAGCAAGUAGAACACUGAAUUACAUGGACAUUCGGACUUAGUUGACAUAGUGUGGCACUUAACAUAAAGGGGAAAUCCAUGGUGUUGAACAUAAUGAGAUAUAGACAAAUUAUAAGAAUUUGAUAGUAAAUGAUAUAUAUAUAAACAUGUGAAUGAAUUCAUAGGUUAACUCUAAUAUUAGUAGUGACCUUCGUCUUGAAAGUUUUGAGGAGAUCUAAAAGUUCAAAAGGAAGCUCUAGAAGGGUGAAGGCAAUCCUCUCAACACAUUUUCCCCAUACUAGGAGGUGGAGAGGUAAGUUGGUAUUUUUAGAAUCUUAUUUUUGAGAAUUUUUCCCAAAUAAUGGAUUUGUGAGGUUUUAACUUUGUUAGAACUAUUUUUAGGAUUUUCUUGAUAUUCUUAAGAGGUCAAGAAAUAUCCCUUCUUGAAAAAUAAAGAGAAUGUAAAGAAUAUCACUGAAAUGGGUCCUUUUUCCUCCUCCUCCUUCUCCUCCUCCUCCUCCCCUCAGCGUGUGGUUGUAUGAGGCCACCAAGGCAACCUAUCCCAUUCGCCUUCCUCUCGGCAAUUGCCUACAAAUAAGUCUGCAUCCAUGCAGAGAGGCUGCAACUUGCUUGCCCCCGUUUUAAAAGGUCUAUUUCGACUAAUAAGAAGUCAUGAAAAAAAAAUUGUAUUACCAUAUUUCUUUAAUAGAUGGGAACCAAUUAACGCCUUUGUUUUCCAUGUGCUGCUAGGUCUUCCUCUAAGGUUCCCACCACUUUACCUGUGCCCGCCCUUUUGUUUUCUCAUUGUUUUCGGUUGGUGGUGCCUGAACUGGUAGCCUUUUCGGCUGGUGACACCUAAGCUUGUUGCUUACGGUUCAAAGGUUGGCUUAAAAAAAAACUCCGCCCUGUGCCUGCUCUCCUAUACCCUCAUUACUUUUGGUGAGUUGGGCGGCACUAUGCUCGCUCUAAAUUAUGAUGUUUUUUUUUUUUUUCCCCCCUAUUUACUUUGGCGGUUUGCCUGGGCUUCUUGAGACUACCGAAUUUGAUAUUUGAAAAGGCACCUCCUCAAAUUCUUAUACUUAGCAAGUUAAAAAAAAAAAACAGGGACACUAAGCCUUUAUACUUAACACAAUAAAAAAGGAAAACAUGCGGGGGUCCUCUUUGGGCCUACAAGCUCUAAUGUUUUUAAACGUGCCUUCUCAAAACCUUAUGCUUAACAAAUAUAAAUUAUGGCAAAAAGACAAGCAUCCAUGCAUCACACUAGGAAUGUCCCUUCUAUUACUUUCGCUAAUGCUCAAUAAAAUGUCCCCACUAUUACUUUCACUUAACAUACUCUGCAGCUGGCUGAGAGCAUGUUUGACAUUUGUGAAUACUUGUGCUUAACAAAUCUUUAUUUUGAAGAAAAAAAGUAGGGAUUCCUUUCAUUAUGUAGCUAUAUGUAUUUUCCUUUGUAUUGAUUGUUUUUUCCUCCAAUUUGCAUCUUGGUGACAAUUACUGAGAUGUCGGUUAUUCAGCUUUCAUAUACUAGACUAGAUUAUUUGAUGAAAUUGCUGGGAAGCUGGGCAUUGAAACGCCCGAGUGCAUUGUAACUAUUGCUACAGAAGGUUGGUUUCUAGCAUAUAUAGACCUUCCAAUUGCGCGUAGUGGGACCGUUAUUGAAAUUGUGCGCAAUUGGGGUCUCCAUCUUUUGAUUACAUAGCGGCAAAGAAAGAUGCAGCCUGUGUAGCUAUUCAAAGGAUGAAAGAUGAGCUCGGUUUGCAAAAAUAGGAUGCAAACUAUGAUGAUUUUAUAUUGUACAAGAGUUUGUAUUCAUAAUAGUGAUUUGCUUGGGCAGUUCACGAAUCUUAGGCGGGAGCACAAUCUUUUGAAAGAUUGUUAUGCUACUGCUGUUUCCGAAAAAGCUGACGCUAUAGCUGAGCAGGUGAAAAUGCAUCGUGAAAUCAACGAUUGUCAUGCGACCAUUAACUGUCUACGUGCUGGCCGAGCUGCUACGGCGGGUGGCCCCUCCGAAGCAGGAUCUACUUUUUAGCUCUAUACUCCGUACCCUUUAGUAUUAGAAUGUUCAACCGCCUUCUUUUGUCCUAUAGAGCCGGUACUCAUGCCUCAACAUAUUUGGUGCUUUUGUCGAUAUGUAAAAUUCGGCAUGUAUGAUUUAGCUUUAAAAAAACUCACGGCUCGCCCAAAAUAGAAAAAAGUAAAAAAAAAAAAAAACCUUUAGUCCGAGUCGUAACGUUCGCUUCCCUCCCCGGACUUUUUUUACAAAAUAACCAUCUAAAAUUUUAUAAUUUGCGAAAUAACUCUAUCAAAUUUCUAUUUGGCAAAUUAACACUUAAAACGCGGUGAAUCAUUCACCGCAUUAUGAAAAGUCUAAGAUCUUUUAAAAGCGGUGAAUCAUUCACCGUCUUCUUCAUGAUUUUUUGGAAUAGAGAAAACAAUGAGGUUGUUAAAAUUAUACGUAGAUUAUACGGGAAAUAAAAAAGGGAAAUAAAAAAAGUGAGGUUGUUAGGAUUGUGUGUGGAAUAUUAGAAUUUUUGUUUGAUUGUUAGAAUUGUAUGGAUAGAUUAUUAAAAAUUUAUUGAUUGUUAGAAUUAUAUGGAUAUAUUAUUAGGAUUUUCAAAUGGUUAAGAUUAUAUAUGAUGUUUGAUUAUUACGAUUGUUUGGAUAUAUUAUUAGGGAGUUCGGCUAUGGUGCUUGUAAAAGUACCAAGCACUUGGUGCUUGUAAAUUUUUUACCGUUAGAUCUUUGCCUUUGAUCAUUUUUACCCGUUAGAUUAUACUAUUCAAUCAACCACCCACUCAACCCUACGGGGUCCACAUUACCCUAAUCGCACAUCCUUUAAUCCAAGGGCCAAAAACUUACAAGCACUAAUGACUUGGUACUUUUAAAAGCAUAGGAGCUCAAUUCUAUUAUUAGAAUUUUUUUGAUUGUUAAAAUUAUAUGGAUAAAUUAUUAGAAUUUUUAGAUUAUUAAAAUUAUAUGUGAUUUGUUGAAAUAUUUAUGUGGUUGUUAGGAUUAUAGAAAGAAAGAAACAAUAAAUAAGUGAAAGGUGGUAAAUGAUUCACCGUUUUUCUGAAAAAUUAAGAUCUUUAUAUAAGCGGUGAAUCAUUCACCAUUUUUAAGUGAUUAAUUUUUUUUAAAUAUAAUUUUGGCCAGGUUGUUUCACAAAUAAUAAACUUUUAAAAGGUUAUUUUAUAAAAAAAAAACCCUUCCCCUCAAAAAAAAAAAAAAAAAAAAAAAAAAAAAAAAAAAAAAAAAAAAAAAAAAAAAAAAAAAAAAUCACUCGGUCAAAAAGUUUUUACCCUAACUUCUCACCCCUGCGGCCCUGCCACCGACUCCAGCCCCCAUUCCUUCCCCUCCCCCUCUUCCCUUCCGGCCGUUCGCCGAACGCCAUCGGAAGCCCCCGCGGGGCCGCGUCGAAGAUCGGGUUCUUCACUCUUCAGAAAUCAGAACCCUCCUCGUCGCCUCUUCCUCUUCCGCUUCAGCUUCAGCUUCCGCUUCCGCUCUCCAACGAUGGAUCAGUAAUCGGGUGGUUCUUCACAAACUAGGUACGAAUCGUCUGAAUUUUUAUGCUUUAGUUUCUCUCUCUCUUUCCUUUAUUUCAUCUUCUCUUAAUUGCUGACUGUAUGGUUCUGAGUAACAAGACCAUGACUACAAAAUGUGGCAUCAUUGUGAACAUGCAUUUAUUAAGAUUCGUUACUUCUUUUUUAUCUUUAAUCUCUACAGCAUACAUGAAUAUUCUAAGAUACCAUAGAUAUUCUUAAAAAAGAAUAAUCAGCAAAUAAGGUUUUAAGACCUCAAAAGGUUGAUAUGCCCAGCAGGUUGUGAGUAAGGUUCGAAAGUCAGAAGCGUAUGCAUUGAUUAAAAACCAAGGGAGAUCUAGCAAACUUAACAAAGGCUAAAAAACAUGGGCGUUAACUGGCAAUACUGUGAAUUUCCGAUGAUUUUGGAGAAAUAGCAAUAUGGAGAUACAGGUUUGAGUUUUCAUUCUUCAAUAAGAAUAUACAAACAUUGUUGAUAAUAUGAUUACAGAAAAAUAAUCUGCAAAACAUAUCUAAAAAAAGAGAAAUCAUCUUACAUUUAUAUGUUACUAUAUAUGUACCUCACUGAAAAAUGAGAAGACCUGAGGAAUAAGAGUUUGAAGAUGUCUAACUUUAAGAUUUCCUGCUCCUAACAUUUGUCUUAGAUUGUGUCAAGCUCCCAAGUGGGAUCAGUAUAGGGAACCUCUCCAUUCCUAUUAAGUUCUUAGUAAACAUUUUUUAUUAAUCAAGAACUACAAAUCUCAUCUUUAGAUGAUUGGAAAACCUUUUUUCUCACUAUUUCUAGGAAAUAAUAAUGCACUGAAACAAAUCCAUGCUUGCCAUUCAGAUAUUAACCCUUGAUAUGUCAAGUUUCUUGAAGAACCUACCAGUCCAUUUAUUAGUUAAAAAUAAUAUAUACUAUAUAUAUAUAGUGUAGUCAAUUGUUAAUUAGUUUCGUAUUGGAUCUGAAUUUUCAAAGAUAGGGCGACUGAAUUUUGGUUUUCCUUGAAGAUGAGAAUUCUUGAUUAAUAUUAUGCAACAAUAAAUCUAUUUCCUCCUUUACAAUCUUAAGAAUUAUGAGUAUUUAUGCUAAUAGCAUAAAUCUUGAGAGAAAAAAAACUUAAUUUAAUAGCCGAAUUUUUGAUCCCGAAUUUUUAAUUGGUGAACGUAUAAUAUCCGUAUAAAUCACGUAUUCGAAUAAUUGGCGAAUCCGUUUUUUAGCCGUAUUUUCAACGAAUUUAAAAAUUAGGAGACGAAUUUUAUCCGAAUUAUACCCGUACCGAAUUUUUGCCGAAUUUGAAUUCUAAAUCUGUAGUUUAAGUUGUACGUAUCCCUGUAAGCUUACUCGACAUGGCAUGCAACGCUUUUCUCAUAAACCUUAAGUAUUAAAACCAAAUGAAAUGUAUUCCAAAUAUUUUUUACUACCUUCCAUUUAUUAAAUAUUUUCUUUACUCUUUUAAUUACUUUUCAAUUAUUUUAAUAUUGUCUUUUUGUUUUCAGCUGCGGUUUAAUAAGUUUUUCAAGAAUUUUAUAUUUUUUUCCCCUUUUUGACCAGGAUUUACAUUCAAAACGAUUAGUUGAAAUUAAGAAUUUGCAUGAAGAGAGAAUUGCAAUUUUGAAAAAGUUAGCAGAUUUUCAGGUUGUUUAUCUUUCUUACUAUCCAACAUUUUUAUUUAUUAUAAUACUUCUUUCUUGCUCAUAAGGAUUUACUGUACACAAUAUAUGAUUACCAGAAUACUUUGAUGGAUCUCAAGAGUAUAGCUUCAUCCAAAGCUUUCCAGCUAUUGAAUGCUCAAUUGCAAAAGUCGAAAGCUAAAAUGGACCAAUAUCAGCCAUUAUUGGAGAAAUUACAUAUUGAAGUUGUCUUUGCAUAUAAAUAGAAUCUUAUAAAGCUUCAAAAUUCCUGGGGGUGCUAUAGCUAAAAACAUUGUUGGCAGUAGAAAAAUGUGGAGCCAAAGAGCUUCAAUGCAUCUAUGACAAUAAUUUGAAGCUCCAGAAACCACAUAUCCCAUAUACCAUAGCUUUGGGACUAGCAAUAUUAAAAUAUUUUAGGAAAAAAUAUUCGAAGACUCCCUCAACUGUAGUCAAUUCGGAAAUAGACCAUCAAAUUUCAUUAUAAGAUCCUUUCAACCUUUUUUUUACUGCGAGGAAUGCAAGCAUUGAGUAAUAGCUGAUGUUUUAAUUGCAGCUUUGAAAGAGGUGAAAAAUUCUCUCGCUGUGCCGAUAUCAAGGAAUGGAUUAAAAGCAGGUAAUAUCACACUAAUAUUUGGAUCCGUUAUUGUUAUUAUACUCUUUCUCAUGAAGAGUUCCUGUGUUUAACUUAUUGAGAAUACUAUCUUUGAGUAAUCAAUUUAUAUUUCUUACGACAUAUUCAUUCUUUUUUAAUGCAUUUUUUAACAUUUCCUUUUAUAGGAUAUUGGACAUUUUCUACCAGCAUUUCCCAAUAAAGUGAAGUUGAGUAUCCCGUACUCUGUUCCUAGCUUUACUCUUGGCAGUUUUGGUGUAAUCACUCAGUUAAGCUACUUUAUUGGUAUUGUAGUUUAGCUCAAUUUACAUUUAUUAGUUUAAUUAGUGAUAUUUCUACGGUUGUUCCCAUCAAGGGAGUAACUUUUACCACACUAGGCUACUGCUUUUUAUUUCUAUUUGACCCAAGUCUUCUUGAUUCUCCAAGCCAUAACUCUACAAUUUUAGGAUGUGUAUGUGUAAUCAUCACCGCAAUGCUUUGGAAUUUUCACUUUAUUAAUCAUAACUUUAUAGUUCUAUAAGGCUGGAAGUUGGAAAAUGAUUUUUAUCUUCCUGUAGAUGCUUUUCUCAAUGCUAGGAAAAUGCCAAAUGUUCUUUCAUUUUUUUUCCUAUUUGCUCAGUAUAUUACUUAUCUUUAGCUCUACAAUAAUAUCUAUCUGCUGUGUAGAGCAAGUAGCGACGCUAUAUUAACUAAAUUUGAAUAGAUUAUAUCUCUAACCCUAAUUUUUUUUUUCGUAGUAUUAAAUAUUCCAAUCCUUAUCCACAAGGUUUAAAGUGCCGUGGCACGGGGGCGUGCUGUUAUGUCCCUGGCACGGUACGGCACAGGCACGCUUGCGUGCCGACACGUGGCACGCUUGCGUGCCGAUAGAUACGCAUGACCUUCUACUGGCACGGACUUCAAAAUAUAAGCUAAUGACUUAAUUUAAUAUAUUUAUAGUAGUGAGUAUUGCAUAAAGCAUACUAACUAAAUUUGUAAUGAUAAACAAUGCAUUCAAAUUUUAAAGUCAAAAUGUUGUUGACUGGCGCAAAUUAAACAUAUUGAGAUGUUAGGUAGUAAAAUCAAAAUUUAGAAAGGUUGGAUAGCUAAUUUAAAAUAAUCCAUAAUUCAAAUAAGUUCCGUACGUUUUUAUGAAAAAAAUGAGAUUAUUGGAUAAAUAUUUCACCUAAAGUUUUUCCCGUAGUUCUCUUAAGUUUUGGUGUGUUGAUUAUACUUGAUAUUAUGCCUCCGUGUUGCAAAUGGAGUGCAAUAGUCUAUUUGCAUUAAAGGUGGGUCAUAUUCGUUGAGCUUCACAAGAAUAACAAUUUGCAGUUAAUAAGUAUGUAUAUAUAAAAAAAGCAAUGAUGAUAGAAAAUUUAAAGUCAACCAGUCUGAUGGUCUAAGGGCAACUCUUGCUUUUAUUAAUUGUUCACAAGCUAUCGAUUUGCAAAAAGGAAAAGGGUGUAUUUUGUGCAAAAAUACUGAUGAAAAUCUAACUAUUUGAGCUCAAGUCACUAAAUCUUUUUUGAUCUCUUUGCUUUUGCUUGCUGCUCAGCUGGCAGUUGUGUAGUAGCUCUGUUCUUGCUUCGUGCUUUUUUCCGUCGUUGAAUUUUUGCUCUAUCAACUAUUCAGUGGAUUAGAUAUAUUUCAUCGCACAACAUCAUGAUGAUAAGUGCAUUUGCAAUUAUUCUAUUCUUAAGUAAUUUAUAUUUUCUAUUUAAAUUUUAAAUUAUUUCAACCUAAAUUAUUUCAGUUUUAGUGCGUUAAGAGCUAUGAUACAUUGAGAAAGACUUCUGACUACACAAGACAAUUAAUGAAAUCCCUCUACACAUUUGAAGAAAGGAAAUUAAAGUUGUAGGAUUUGCGAAAGUUUGUAAAUUAUAACGUACAGGAAUUAGUAAGUUAAUUCUAAGCCUUUUUGUAUUGAUAGAUCAUAUAUUCUCUCAUAGCUAUGACAAAUAUAUUUUUAGACCACAUAUCUAACUAACAUAGAGUAGAGUUUUCCACUAUCAUUUUAUGCAUUGGAAGAGUGGAUUUUGUAAGUGCUUUUAGAUGUUCUGUGUAUUCUAACAAAUGAAAGGUGAUUAUAUAUCAAGGAUUUAAGUGCUGUGGCACGCGGUCGUGCCGGAAACUUGUUGGCACGGUACGGCAUGGUGCGUGCAGAGCCGUGCCGAUGGGUGCCGGUCAAAAAAAUUCUUGUGUGCCGACACAUAAUAGCAUAAAAUAUUUAUUUUCUUUAGCAAUAAAAUAUUCUAACUAUUUAUUAUAUUUUUUUAUCACAUCUUUUGAACUUUGUUGAUAAAAUUACUUACUAAUUUAAAGAAUAGAGGGUUUUGAGCUGUGCCAUCGGUACGGGGUCUGUAUCGUGCCGGUAUCUUGUUGGCACGGUACGGCACGGUAGAUACGGCCCGUGCCGACGGGCACUUAAAACCUUGUUAUAUAUUAUAUAUAUUGAUUAACUUCUAUAAAAUUGAUCCGCCGCAACGCGUGGGUGCCUACACUAGUAUGAUUUUAAAGUCUUUGAUGUCAUUUAACAAUUGUUUGAAAGUAUCUUAAAGAGUUGUGCACCUUGCCUCUCUCAGGUGCGCGUUUGCUUUUUCAAACACCGAUAGAAAUCAUGUAGAUAUGAUGUGUAGUGUAGAUGUCUAGCCAUGAAUACUAUUAUUGAAAAUCCGUCUUGUUUAUCCCACAUUCGAUAAAUGCGAUUUUUUCGUACUCCUUAAUUUUCUCUUGGAUCGCACCUUGUGCGAGUGCGGAACCCAUUAUUCCUAAUGUCGGAAUUCCAUUUUACAAUGUAAACGGCAUUGAGAAUCAUACUUAUUUUGCUUCAGUUGAUAUUGAUAUAUAGAUUCCGAAGGGAUAAACAUUGGCCACAUGAUAGAGAGUGAUGAGAUGGUGGGGGCAAGUAAGAAUGGCAUGGGAACGUCAUCUCCCCACGUAGAGAUACUCAUACCGCCAUGGUGGGCAGAGGCGGCAGAGGCUAUUGCUCGCGCCGCUUCUCAGCCACCGGUUGCCUUCAUCUGCGGCCCUAAGAAUAGCGGGAAGUCUACAUUCUCUCGAUACCUUCUCAACAUUCUCUUGGAAAGGUUCUUGUCUCCUUCUCCUCACUGUUCCUAUUUAAUAGUCGUAUUUAUUCUCGGUUCUUUCGUUCUUGUGGAUCAGUAAAGAUUUGGGAUUGUGUGUAGGUAUAAGAGAGUAGGCUAUUUGGAUACCGAUGUGGGGCAGCCAGAGUUCUCUCCUCCUGGUUGCCUCUCCCUUCAUAUUAUUGGUGAAAAUAUACUAGGUACAUUUGUUUCCUGUUCUCUUAGUUUUUGGUUCUUUAUUGACUUACUGAGAAUUUGUGGAACCCGUGCUAUACUUUCUUUUAAUUCUCAUUUAUUGAUUCUCUUUUAGAUUUGAUGAACACAAGUCUAAAAACACCUGAGAGGUAAGCUUUUGUUCAUUCCUCUUGUUUUCUGUGUUUCUUCAAAAUAGAAGAUUUUCUUAGAUCAACCAAAAAAAUCAAAUUGGAACUCUUCUAUUAAUUUCAUUGGACUAAGUUGGAAGUUCAGUUCUAUUCAUUUGGGGAGCCAAAAUAAUUUGGUUUUUGGUGUCCAAUUCUUUAGAUAGACAUCUAAAGAAUUAGAUAGACAUCUAAAGAAUAUGUUGCAAGUUACAGUUUAGAUGCCAAUUUAACGAUUGUAGACUUGUAGUGCUUAAACACUAUAAUGAUUAUUGUACAUCUCUUGGUUAAAAUUCCGAUAGAUUUUAGGUUCAAAAGUCACCCUAAGGAAUGGGCUCAAGCCAAUUUGAUAGCUGACUUGAGAUUACUCCUUAUGUUAAACUGGUUUCCAUGGUUUGUUUGUUCCUUCAAUUUCAAAAUGACAAACCAUUACUUCAAUUGAAGGCCAUUUUCCUUACAAGAUCAACGAAACUUACCAAUACAUAUCCCCUUGUUAUUCUUUUACCUGUAUUUCUGCAAUUAUACAGCAAUAUAAUUUCUAUGUAUGAUGCAUGAUUAGUAUACUUCUUUUUAGCACUUCAGCUAAAGAUUUAAAGGUUAUAGUAAUUGCGUAAUUAAGCUGAUCGAAAUCUUGAUUUAUGUCCUUUGUUUCUAAAGUGUUCCGUUGGGUUUGUUCAUGGUCCCUAUGCUGGUUUAGUUUUGAUGCUUAAAUGAUCAAGUUUGAUGUUAGAUUGAGUCAUCUAGAGUUAUCCAUUGAGGCAAUAUAGUUCUUGCUUGUGUAGUGACAAAUACUAUACAAUUUGCUGCUGAUAUUAUGCAUUCUUUGUGAAUAUUACUUCCGGUUUGCAUGUGUGGUGGCAACCAAAGCGGCUCGUUUUCUCUUGCAGGGCAGUAUUCUAAAACAACUGCAAAUAUUAUUUUAAGUUCAGCGACUUCAGCCCAGCUUCUUAUAUCAGGAAUUAGCUACUUCUAUCAUUCACGUUCCAUAUAAUUGCUUCGGUAAAUCUAUAGGCCUAUAGCUUAGAGUAGAGAUAAGAGAAAUGAAUGUUUUAACAGAUGAUACUCUGCUAGGUAGAACAUAGAUCAAUUUCAAGACUAGAUUUUACUCCUCUAUAGGUGUCAUUGUGUUGAUGAAUUGAUAAUUUAUUGAGAUAAUGCUCUUCGUCAUAUAUUCAUUAGGAGAUUCAUAUCACUGUCUUGACACAUUCUGCAAAUAUUUUACUUUUUCUACUCAAAAUGGCAAGAUCGUCGCCAAGCAGCUAGGGUUGGGAGUGUGCUAGGGACUUAAAGAUUCUUGGUAAUGAGGAACAUUAUUUCUUGUGAAAGUUGCAUUACCAUCUGGUAUGGGAUUGUCAAAAUUCCUCCUAUCUCAUGGUAAUGUAAGAUUCCUGUGAAUGUGGAAUUGAGGAUAGUUUCACCUCUUCCUAGCAAGCCCUUUUACUCCUCCUGACAUAAUUUCACAGUUGCAAUCUGGCUAUUUUGACUAGAAAGUAGAGCAUUACUGUUGCAACGCCUCUUUGAUCUAGUAAUUAGAGAGGACUAGGAUAUAUGUGAUAUAUUUCUGAGCUUAGAGAUUCCUAUUUCUACAUUGGCAUUAAGGGCUUUAUGGAGGACUUGAAAAAAUUUCAAAUCUCGAAAGGCGAAAGGGAAAACAGGGAAAAAAAUGUUGAGUAUGACAAAUAAAUGUAAUUUAUUCACUAUUUAGUGCAUUUGUGUUUCUUUUAUUUAAUACUGGAGAAAUCAUCACCUAUGAAGUAUGAAACAUGGUACCAUUAUAGCACUCUUCCAGUUCCCUUUCUCCCCUUCCCACCUUUAUGGGUCCAGUAGUGAUUAGUGAAAGGAAAAAAAAGAGAGUUGAAUUCGCAAAAACCCAUUGACCUUUUCCUAGUUGCCUUAUGACCCAUUAACUUUAAUUUGGUGCAAAAAAAAGAAAAGCAAAGAAAAAGCUAUAGUUCCAUUGUAAUUUGGCUCAUAAAGCUUUAUUUAUCGCUAAAAAAUACCCAUCAUCUUAUGUUGUUAAGUUUGAUUUGAUGCGAAUAGCAACAUUUUGUCUACUAAGGUUUAUUUGUUAUAAAAAUCCUGGCCAGUGCAUUACUUUAUGUAGUGACAUCAGAUAAAAGUGAAGCUUCUCUUGGCAAAUCAUGCUUUAAGUCUCAAAUUGAAAUGGUAUAUAAGGUGUUAGGUUUUCUCGCACCAAAUUAAACUUAGCGGGAUGAAGUGUAAUUAGGGGAAAUUUGAUUUUUAUGAUCUAAAUCCCGAAAAAAAGAGGAAAAAGGAAAAUCAAUAAGAUAGAAAUUUAAAUAAACAUAAAAAUUCUAGAACCCUCGAUCAUUAGAAGGUGUUUGAUGUGUGGAUGAUCUUUCAGUGCCCAUUUGGUUUGGCUUUUGAAACAAUUUCUCUAGUCCGAGUAAUAGUAGUCACACAUUCAGCAAGCAAAAAGGUUGGAGCUUUUGAUACAAUGAGAAGCUAAAAUGUGCUUAUGAGCACUGAAACAGAAACUUUAGUUUCAUGUUUGUGUAUCUAUUUGAGGAACUGUUUUCUAGGAGCUUUGAUGAAAUAGCUGUUAGUGCUUUUGUUUGCUUCGCUGCUCAAUGCUGGGCAAAGAUCUCGAUCGCAACACUCGCUGCAUCAACUUCAGCCACCUCCACCAGGGAAGAAGAAGGCGUUCGCUCUGUCUCCGAAGGGCAGAGAGAAGCUGUCUUCGAAGGGCAAGGAGAAGGAAUUCGCUCUGGAGUACACUUUGCCUUCGAAGGGCAAGGAGAAGCUGAGCAUCGGACAAACAAAGGGCAAGGAGAAAGUUAGCAUCGAACAAAAGCCGGCAGGGACAACGUAUUCCCUCCGACCAGGCGCUCCUUCAAGCUUUCUAACAGGCCCGGAAAAACUAUAUUCAUCAUAUGAAUCUGAAUUGAGAUACUCAAGUAUGCUCUUCUGUCAAUGUUUGGUAAAAUAUAUGCAUACAAAUUGGGCUUAGGUCAAAUAAAACACCGAGCUGGACUUUGGAAAUAUGCCAAUCGGGCUUUAGGUUACAAGAUUCUUGGCUACAUAUAUACAUUAUUAGUUCUGAAGUUUGUCAAAGGUUUGCAAAGCUUGGUGGUUAGCGUUUUAUGUUUAUUCUUUGUUCCAAAGUUCAAAGCCCCAGGUAUUAAAAGAAAAACGUAGUUUCCCCCCCCUUUGCCAUUUACUGUAGUCCCACAUUGGCCGCACUCAGGCAUAGAGAGUGUUUUCCAAUAUAUUUAAAGGAUCUAUGCUUGAGCUGCUAUCAAUCAAGUCUAUGAGUAGUUAGCAACUCUUGAGAAUUACAGAUUAUAGAUAAUUGAAACUCUAUAUAUCAAAUUUUGAGUAACUCUUGAGAAUUACAGAUUAUAGAUAAUUGAAACUCUGUAUAUCAAAUUUUGUGUAAUUUGGAUCUGUAUCCAGUUUUGAAAAUACUAAUAACUCAUUGAUCAAAUUUGAGUUUGAAUCAAAUUAUGGAGUAGCUAAUUUAUCAGCUGAAAUGGGCUCUGACUUGAUAUCGAUCCAAGUGAGGUCCGAUAUUAUCUAAUCCUUUAGCCCCCCGGAAAUCUUAUUAAAUGCCAAUAGGUGUUUGAUGUGUGAAUUAGUAAGGCAGUCAUGUCUUAUAACAUGUAGAAAAUCUUAUGAAAUGCCAAUAGAAAAGUAUUACCACCUUAUUUUAUUUAAACCAAAAAGUAGUUGGGAAAAUGAACAGCUGUGUCUUGUUCUAAAGUUGUCUUACUCUCCACUUGGGAUUGUGGGAAGAGUGCUGUGUGUGUGGUGAGAAAGUAUGAUAGGAAAAUAGUUUGUAUAUUUGUGUAAAUAAUAUUACAUUGGGCAUAUUGCAAGAGUUGGUUAAGAUAUAAUUUAUGGGGUCCGAUAGGAAGAUGGAGAAGCAUAUCUCUAUAUGCUUUCGAGCAGUGUUAUGCAGCCCUCAAUACCAAAUUGACCCUAAGAAAUUGAGACAAUAAGAGAUGAAUGAAGGAAACAAAGUAGGAAAGCCAAAAUCCAAAGAAAAAGAGGCCCAUUACAGGCUCAUAACAGGGCCUUCAAAUGACAAGUGUUGCACAUUAUUGAAGGUGCCAGAGGCUGCUUCACAAUCUUAAGCAAUUUGGAGUGAAGGGAAUCGUAUUAAAGCGGUGUGUUAUAAACCUUUUCGUGCUGAUAUUGCUUAUUUUUCAUUUUAUGUGCCACCAAUUUCACUGUAUGUAAGGUUAAAACUGAGCCUGGGGCAAUAGCAGAGUAGAUGGGCAGUGCUGGUCUAGCUAGAAUAAGUGCCUAGGUCAACUGCCUAGGUGCCUAGAUUGCACCUUUUACAACACAGGUUGGUCUCUUGAUGUAACUUGCCAUCGUCUUCUGCAAUGGAAUGUAGAAAAUUCAGAUCUUGAUUUGUGUGUGUGAAUGUUGGCGCUGGUUGAUAAAUCUAUUCAGCUCUCAUAAUGUUCGCAUAUUUGAGGAAACAUAAGCAGUUACAUCAGUAAUUAUUCGAUCUUUCUUUUCUAUACCAAGUGAUCCUCUAACUUAGGAGCCAUUAGAUGUAAUAUCUCUUAGAAAAGCAUACCUCAACCUAGAACACAAAAAUCUCUAGUCUGUCACUGUCAGAUGUACAUUCUCUUGAGUAGAAGUCACGUGGAAACCCAUUUUAUUGAACGCCUUUUUUUUUUUUUUUUUUUUCCUGGAUCUAUCUUAAAUGUUUGAUGAAAUUUCUAUUUUGGAUUUGCCAUACUCCUAAGUUGUUACUGCAAAUGUCAUCCAGUAUUCUUUGGCCAGCUUCUUGUUUUUGCCUAUUGCUUUGUGAUUCUCCAGUGUGGGAAAUAAUAGUUUGUCAUCUUCUUAAUUUCUUUCAGGUGUUUCUUCUAUGGUGAUAUUUCAUCAAAGAGAGACCCAGAAGCGUAUUUAAAUUAUGUUUUCAACUUAUAUGAUUACUUUCUCAAGGAGUACUGUUCCUAUAAUGAAACCGAAAAUACUGGAAAUUCAAUGCCACCUUUAAUUAUCAACACUCCUGGAUGGAUGAAAGGUACUAUUACAUUGCUUGGCAUGGUAAUGUCAAAAAAAGAAAGUUUACAACUUUACAUAGCAUAAAUAUAAUACAUGCUUUUAAACUGAAGAGUCGAACUCUUCUGUCUGUUGCAUCUGUUCUUCAUCAUCUUUCUAUUUGAUCAUGUUUGAUACCUACUAAAUAUCAUAUUGCUGUGAACUUUUUCUUAUGGCUUUCCUUUCCUAUUCAGGUACUGGUUUUGAUCUUUUGGUAGAGAUGUUGAGAUAUAUCUCUCCCACUAUGGUGGUUAAAUUAUGUAUCUCAACUAGGAGUAAAAAUCUUCCUAAUGGAAUGUUUUGGUUUGAUGGUGAACAAAAGGGACAAACUGUUGUUAUUGAUGUUUUUUCCGCACAACAAGACUCCUUAAAUAGAUCGUAAGUAUGAAAUGUAGACCUUUCUCUAGUAAAAAGUAGAUUCUUGAGUACAUAUAAAACCAAAGUAUAUGUUAUAUUAUUCAGUUUUAAAUUUGAUGUUUUCUUGUUAAUUUUCUGGCUGGAUGUUUUCAAAGGUGAUAAUAAAUAGCAAGUAUUCAUAAAUAGUUAACUAUAUCAUGUUAAUGAUGUUAGUCAGAUGUUACUUUCUGAUUCCUCUUUUCACUUGUGAGAUUUACAUUCUUAAGUAAAAAAAAAAAUGAUAUGCUUUUAGUGGAUGCUGGGGAGAGAAUUUUUGCGUUUUCUCACCAAAAGAUGAAUGGUUCCUCAUGGAACAACACUACCGUUGUGUUUCUAUAUGCUUAGGAACCUUCUCAAACUCUUGUGGAAGGUAUUGAAAUUUAGGUCUGCCAACUAAAGAUUUGGUUAAUAUGGAAAUUUCACUACUAACUUAUAGCUUGAAGGUGUAGUUUGAAUUGUUUCUGGAACGGUUAAUGGUAAAUAGAAACUAUGCAAGGUCAUGUUCUAAUAGAAUGAUGAUACUUCCUGUUCUGUUUCUCCUCUUUAUUAUAAAAUGCAUUACUAUAUUGUGGUUUUGCAUGAUGUUAUAUACCAACACUUCAGUAAUUUUUAGGUGAGAACAUGGGUUAUUUCACAUGAAGAUCUGCAAUAUAUUUAACUUUUAUCUAGUUUUCUUUUCUUCUGUAGGGUUUUGAUUCAGAAGGAUGUACGUGGUUUACGUGACCGUCGUCUUUUUGAAUAUUUCAAGCAAUGUUUUCCAACUGAUACGAAUAUUUCAACAAAUAAGGAACUUGCCUAUGCCCUGGCUUCUCUCCCUCCUUAUAUACUGCCAUUUUCGAAAGUUAAAGUUAUGCAUCUUCACUGUCAGGUCAGUCAAAAUAGUUGUGGUUUACAUUUUUCAGAUUUUGAAACAUUGGUUUACAAUUAAUUAUUAGAACAGGAUUCUCUCCUGUCAUUGAUGUUAUUGCUUACUUCUUGGCUGUUGUAUACUUUGUGUCCAUUGCGCAAUGUUGAAUCCUUCAUUCCUCCAUUGCAAUCUUCCAUCAAUCACGUCAUCAGUUCAUGACUAUGAAUUUUUUAGCGACUGUCUUUCAUCUUUAUCCUUUGAAAGGAAAACCUAACUAAUUCUUGCAAUGAUUUGAAAGUACUGAAUGGCUAGAAACUUGAUUGUUACCCACUAGAUUUUUUUUAAUGAUGUCAAAACAGUAUUAUUUUUUAGGAAAAACUUUAAAUAUCACUCCCGUGGUUUCGCACUUUUUCACUUUAGUACCCUAUGGUUUAAAGUGUACCCUAUGGUUUUAUUUUUCUCUUUUUGUUAUCCCCUCCACUAAUUUUUUUGUUAAAUAAGUGACAAAGUUAAAACUAAAGGAUAUUAAAGUGAAUAUUCAAUAAACUAAAAGUGGGGUAUCUGAAGUUUUUUAUAUAUGAUUUAACGAGUUAACGGAGGGGUUGACAAAAAGAGAAAUAAAACCACAGGAUGCUAAAUUGAUACACUUUAAACCACAGGGUACUAAAGUCAGAAAGUGUGAAACCACAAGGGUGGUAUUUGAAGUUUACCCUAUUUUUUAAGUUGGACCAAAAGUUGUACUCAAUUUAUUAUUUUUCUUGUGAUAAUUAUCAAACUUGCUGGAUUGUCAAUUUUUUUUUUUUGGAAACUAGGAUUCUCUUGAGCAAUCUAGUGCCUGUGUGUUCACCUGUUUCUAUAUUUGAACUUUAAAAGAACUUUUUUGGUUUACCAUUUUGCUUAUGAAGCUUUUGGUGUUUGUUAGGUCCCAAGUAAUGAAAUAUGGCACAGCCUGAAUGCUACUAUUGUGGGCUUGGCAGUUAGUACUGAUGGAACUGUAAUGAGUCGAUCCACACCUUGGUGUGUUGGGCUUGGUACUCUCUCUCUCUCUCUCUCUCUCUCUCUCUCUCUCUCUCUCACCUUGGUGUGUGUGCAUGUGUGCUCACGUGAUAUUUGUAUAUCAGUAUUGUUUUGUUAAGACAAUGUUUGUCCCUACUAAUUUUUCAGUGGGACAGAAGUCAGGAAACGGUAUUAAUUUGUAGAAGAAUCCAAAUUGGUUGAAAUUUUGUUGGAAAAUUCAAUUUGAUAUCUAGAUGAACAUAAACAAUCCUGAUCUUGAAUUCAAGAGUCUUAUCAUUGAUUUUCUAGGUUGUUUGAUUUGAUUGCACCUUUUGCAGCUAAUUAAUGCACUCGAAACUAUUAAUUUUCUUAAAUCAUAAAACUUUUUUUCUAGAUACUUCAAAAACUCUACAAAACAAACAAGGACAAAGGCUUCCAUCCUCUUAGUAGUAGUUGGAUUUGGUUAUGUCCAUGCCAUCGGCAUGGAAGAUUUGAACCAUUUCUGUACCUUGUGGGCACCGUACGUGCCAUCUCAAGUCACACGGUUGACAUGUCAAUCCAUGCUAUCAGUCACAGGAAUGCCUUUUCCCGUCAGCUUUCUCUUUGAUAACAUCCUCCCAUAGAAAGGCAAUCACCUUUUCUUCCGUUUCUAGCAACUUUUGGAUCUUCCUCUCCUACUUGUAGUACUUGCCAUUUAAGUUGAAAAUUUGAAACAAAUAAAGCUAUAUUGGGCAGUAAAUCUGGAAGCACAAUGAAGAAGAACAAAUCACUCUUUGCCAGUUAAAGGUGGGAAGGCAAACCAGUCAAAUUGCAGAUUGCCGGUUUCUUUCUCUACGUUUAAUAGACUUCAUUCAUGCCUAUACAUCUGAAAUGAAAUCUAGGUUUCUUCCCUUCUAAUCUAGUCUACAACUUGAUUGGAACUUGAUUAGUGCAAAAGUAUAUACUGCUCACUGAAAUACAUAUAAUUCAGGUAUCGUCAGAGGUGUAGAUGUCACUGAAGGUCUAUUAUAUGUGAUUACUCCUGUUCCUCUUCACUAUCUUCGAAGUGUGGAUCUUCUACUACAAGGCUUUGUUGAAGUACCGACUAGUCUUUUGCAGGUAAUUAAUUGAAGUACCGACUAGCGUUUCCUCUCUUUGUUAUGUAGCACAUUUGCAGCUUGUGGUCUAAUGAAUUAGUUGUGUUUAUUCUAUAUGGUUAUGCAAGCACGCCAAGCAACAUACUUUUUCUUGUCGAUGCUUUGUGAACUAGAUCUUUCUUGCAGUUCGUUCGAACUAAUCCUUCUUACAAUUUUAUGGAGGAAACUCUGUUUUUAACGACAAACUUUACAUUAUGUACCAUAAUUCUCUUCUACUAACAAUAGACCUUUCUUUCCAGGUGCGCGGAUGUGUUUCCCCUUACAUGUCUACUAAUGUGCUGCAUAGGAUAUCAGAUAAGGAUUUAUAGGAUAUCAAGAUGGGGCUGUAAAAACAGCAGCAAAUGCAACACUCAGAGCAGUUGAAAGGGGGGGGGUGGGGUGCAAAUUUUGAGAGCACUGUUAGAGGGUUGCGUCUCACUNUUUUUUUUUUUUUUUUUUAAUUAUUAUUAUUAUUAUUAUUAUUAUUAUUAUUACCCGGUUCUUAUGGAGUGCUGCCUCUAAGUUAAUUGGUAAAUGUUGAGACUUCUCUGAUCAGGAUUUUGCUGUUUGAUGUAAAUUAACAGUCCCAAUAUAUGCUUUAUGUACAAGGAGGGUUAUUUUGGGAAAGUUCAAAAUAAUUUCAGUUAGUGUUUCCGUGUACAAUGUUAGGAUGCAGUUUUCAACGAGUAAUUUGAUUCCGAUGUGGGUUUGUGUGUGGAAUGGCAGGUAGCAUUCUGUUUUCUCUUCAAUUUUUCUUUUUCAAUUUUUUUUUUUCUUUUGAAAAAUUUCUCUUACUUGUAGACACAGACACCCACCGCAGUCCACAAGAAUAUUAUUGAAUGUUCUCUGGAGGUGAACUUCUGUUUGAGCGUUUUUUUUUUCCGUCCUUAAGAUUGAGAACAUUCCUGUAAGCAGUAUUUUCUGUUUUCUUAUUUUCUUCGACUGUAAAGAGGUUAUUAUUUUACGCAAACCUGCGCCGGAGAAGGCUGUAUAUGUGUGAAGUAUAUGUGUGAAAGCUUGCUCGACUAAGAUUCGGAGGCUUGGCAAAAAGAUGGAAGUUCAAAACACGGUUUCUGCGUUGCUUAUGAAUAUCAUAUUUCCUAUAUUUUCUUAAAUAAGAUCGGUAUCACAAUUUAUGUUCGCUCAUGUUAAUGGUGGGUGGUUCCUGAAGGUGCUUCAUCCCUUUCAUUAUUUUGGUUCCAGUUCAGAAAAAUCUGGCGAAAUUUGUGUUCCUAAUUUUAUUUUAUUUUUUAACUAGGGACUGAUUAUAGUCGCCCAGGUGGAAGAUUAUUGAAUUAAAGUAUGCCACUGUUAAAAUUGUAUUUGGUUGGGGAAUAAGCUGUUGGUUGUUCUUGGAAAAGCAACAGUAUCGGUGCGUCCUAUAAUGGGUAUAUAUCCUACACUUUAUCGAUUCAAUAGGUGGGGUAUUUUAUUAGUCACUUCUUUAUCCAUCCAAUAGGUGAGGUUUUUUAUUAGUCACCUCACGUGACUAGUGAAUUUGUUCAUCUCUUGGAUGGAUUGGGGCCGCAGUGUUAGACAGUAUUUCUCAUCUUGAAAUAGGUGGAACUUCUAAAAUAAGUAAAGAGCCAAAUCAAUUUUGUAUUUGCAUGAGAAUUGGUUUAUUUCUAGAAAUUAAAAGAAGUGCUUGGGUGAAGUUCAGUACUGAUGUUCUCAACUUCAAUAUCACUACUUGGGUGAAAUUUCACAAGUCCUGAGAGUUCUUCAAGCCAACUCAUAGUUGAAUACCAAUACUCUAAUUUCAGUAUCAAUAGUAACAGCAGAACUAUAGUUUUGCACAUUUUGCCUUCUUUUUCAAACACAAUCAGGAUCAUCAAAAUAGUAUUAUUACUAGUUUACUUGAGCUUCGCUAUUUACAAAAGUUUAGUGCAUUACAGAGCAUCCGGAAAGAAAUAUGCACUCGAUGCAAGAGAAUUGAACAAUUUCGAGCACCCGAGGGAUUUGCCAAAUGUCUAAAAGUCUAGAUUUCACUCAUUGCGUAUCCAAACUCUUCCAAACCUGUAGUACACUGAACUUGGGCAAAUUGCGAAGUUCAAGUAUGGGAAUGGUAAUUGAAAUCAUUCUACAUCUUUUGAAGGGUUGUCGUGGGGUUUUCGGCGAGUUAGUGGAGCGAUCAAAUGCUCGGAAGUGCAAAAGUGCAUUGCAAACUGCAAUUUCUGCACUCUGCAUUGAGUACCGGUACGAGUGUGAUGGGGUACCGGUACCUAGCAGCAGCAACUGCGUGGUAGCAAGGCUAAUUUGGUCUUUUCACUGCCAAAGCUUAUCCCUAAAAGCCCAGCACAAUCUCUGCAGCUGGUUAGAAGGUGCUGGAGCAUAGAAGAUCAGGUUUAAACCCUUCUCUUUCUCUCUCUCUAUGUUUUCUCUCACCUAGAGUAGGAAACAAGUGAUUUGAGCCUAUUUCUCUCCCUCUUUUGUUACUAGCUGAAUUGGAGAGCUUGGAGCAGCUGUGGAGGAGAGGAAAAGUAGUCUUGAGAGUGGUUUUUCGCCACCCUAACUCAGUAGGAAGCUGGAUUAAAGCUUGGUAAGAUAAGCUAUUCAACUUCUUUGUAGUGAAUGCCAUAGAAGUGAAGUUGAUGUUGGUUCUUUGCUUUUUGUCGCAGCCGGUUUUGGAAGGUGCUUAGUAGUAGUAUAGAAGAGGUGUUUUGCUGAGUUUCAGCUACCCUGAACCAGAGAAGAAGCUGAAGUGAAGGUUGGAAGGUGAUUAGCUACCUACUUUCCUUGUUUUGAUGCUAUACUAGGUGUAUAGAUGAAAGUAAUGAGGCAGUUUUUUGGAUAUGUUCACAGCAGGUUUAUUAACCACUUUGAGCUGAGUUUAGUGACUCUUGUGAGCUGAUUUCAGUGUGCUUCAACCUGAUUUGAGGUGGAGUUCAAGUUGGAAUCCUAAACUAGGUAUGAUUCUACCUAGAUUAGAUGCUUAGGAGAAAUUGUUUAGUAAAGGUUGAAGUCAAGCUUCCAAUUUAAUUAGUAUGUUUACUAGGGUGCCUGGAGGCUGCGGAUUACUUUCGCUAGCAGGAUCGACGAGAGUCGACGUGCUUUUGGUGGGUUUGACCUCACCGAAAUGGAUGAAUUCCCCCUAUGUUCUUAUCUUUUGGCAUAGAACUAGAAUUAUGCUUAUGUGUCGCUAUUGGCGUCAUAAGCGAGUUGUUGGAUGUAAUAGUUGUAUUUACAUCAUAUCGCUGGUUAUACUCUAUUUGGUAGAGAGCUAUAAAGGUUAAAUUCCUUGCAUGAUAACACAUAUCAUUGUGUAGACAAGUCGUGAGUGAAUGUACUAUGCUUGAAUUAGCAAGAAUGACAUGUGGUUUUAUAUCCUAAUGGUUGUUAUAUAUGUAUAGAACAUAUGAAACAUGUAUUAGAAUAUGAUCAAUAUACUUGGGUAGACAAGUUAAACUUGACAUCCUAUUGACGAAACUACCAUGUACUUCAUGUUACUAGCUAUGCUUUAGUUGAUAACUAGCAUUUGUUAUCAUAUUUAAAUUCCGACCUAUAGGUCGGUAGAGGACAUUCUGUGUUGAGACAUGACGAUUGAGGAACUUGUAUUAUGGAUCAUGCUUGCUUGCCAUUGUGCUCAUUCGCACAUGCUUGUGAGGGUCGCUCCCCACAAGCUGGCACUCCGGAGUUGGCCUACGCGAUAGAUUGCUCGCCCCUGCAGGAUUGGGUGCCGAAGUGGAUUGCCGCGGGGAGUGUAAACUACCACGGGGCCAUUAGGCGCGGCGCAAGCUGGACUACCUUGUGUAGCUCAUGAAUUGAAUCAAAAUCCUAAAUUGUGUUGAGAUAAUGGUCACCACUAGAUAAUGUGUAUUUACAAGACGAAAUGACAUGUUUACUUAUGUAAAGUAGUUACUUUGCUUACUGCAUAAAAGUGAUUACAUUGGAAAUAUAGUUGUAAGAUCAUUGCUUAUUAUCUUUGUCAUUUCUAUCAUGUAGCAGUUAUACUUACUUUUCUUUAUGCAUCAUGAACCUAGUGGUAUAAUUCGCUGAGGUCGGCGGCUUACCAACUGGGAACUAUUGUUUAAUAGUUCUCACGCUCUCUUUGUUGUUAUUGUGUUACAGAGCUAUCCAUUACGGGAGAGGCUAGGGAUCGCGGCAAGGGAGUCGCGUCUAGCUAGACAUAGCUUGGAGCCCCGCUAGGUAAUCCCCUCGCUGCUUCGAUUUUGUCGACGAGGGUGGUGUGUACCCUGUAUAGAGAGACUACCACUUGUAUUUUGGGCUGUUUAGUGAUUUUGGGUUAUACAUAUGUUGUUAGAGCGUUGUACUAUAUAGUCUUGUGUUUUUACUUUCUGUUGAUCUUAGUGGAGUUUUAUACUACUUAUUCUCUAGCUGCUAGAACUUUCUGUAUAUUCUAUGCUCUGAUAUCAUGUUAGAUUAUUCUACCGAUUAUCUCUUUUCUGACAUGAUUUUAGUAGACGCCUUGUAUGCUGUAGGUAUAUGGCGGGUCUGUACAUGUAUCGGAUAUGCUUCCGCUGAUUCCCAGGCGUGACAAAACCCUUGUUCAUGCUAGUUUUGAUCCGAAUCAAAUCCAAAGCAUCUCAUGCUCAUCCAAAAGCUUUUAAAUAGUAUCAAUAGUAAUUUAUACCGGAACUUCACUAAUUUGCAAAAGUUCAUUAUGCUAUACUUUGGCCCAAAUCUUAGGUUCUGACCAAUUUAUUUUCAUGACAUUUUAGUAAUCUGUAGACUUUGGCUCCUGACAUUUAAGUAAUCUGUAGACUUUGGCUGAAAUCUCAGGUCCUUUAGAUUCCUUUCAAGUCGAGAGUCCAUCGAACCUGUCUGCUCAAGUUCGGCCAGAGCUAGGUGGCCGAUUACAUCUCUCCGACAUUUCAGUCGUCUGCUGACUUUGACUGAAAUCUUUGAUCCCUAUAGUUCCUUUCAACCAAAAGUGAACUAGAUCCAGUCCAUCCAAGUUUGGCCUGAGGUAAACAGCCGAAUAUAGCGUGCUUUCAUAGAGGUCAAGUCACAACCAAGAACCCAAGCCGAAAGCUUCCAUUUUCUUCCAUUGUAUUCAUUUUCUUUGAAUCAAUAAUAACAUUUUUUUCGGCUUCUCUUUGGCAAACAUGCUUAUUUAAUUUAUGUAAAAUUUUUGAGUAUUUGAUGGUAACUCUUUAACCCAACAACCUCCAAUUAACCUAAAGUGUUCGGAUUUAAGUAUUUUCAUUAGUGAUUUAGACUAAGGACACACUUGUUACAGGUUUAAAGUAGGUAAAAUAUUAAUCCUAUAAAAUUUUUACUCUAUAUUAAACUGUGUUUGGUUCGUUGGCGUUAACUUUUAAGAGAGAUAAAAAUUUCACCUUCCUUUAAUCUUCAACAAUCAAAAUUUGUUUUUUUUUGUUUGAGAGAUUAGGUAGCACGCUACCCGCUUUGUUUAUUUCAUUUAAAAAUAAACUUAGCUAGAAAUAUAAAUCAAUUAGGGUUCGAACUUGGGACCUCCGGUACCAACCACCAAGCCCUUUUCCACUUGCUCCAGGGGCGGUCGGUAACAAUUCAAAUUUGUUAAUGUGCAUGGACUAGGGUAAAAGAAGGUAAAUGAUAUAAUAUAUGAAAAAGUGAUAAAAUUUUGAUCCUCCUUAUAUCAUUUUCUUCACUUUCUAUUUUCACUUCCUCUCUUAAUUUCUCUCAGCUUACUUUUCUCUUUUUAUUUUCUCUCUUUAUUUUCUCUCUCCUUAAUUUGUGGCUCUUUAUUUUCUCUCUCUAAAUUCUCUCUCUUCACUCUCUCCUUAAUUUCUCUCUCUUAAUUUCUCUCAUCACUUUCUCUCUCUUUACUUUUCUCUUUACUUUCUCUCUCCUUUAUUUCUCUCUCUUCAAUUUCUCUCUUUCAUUUUCUCUUUCUUUAUUUCUCUCUCUUUACUUACUCUUUUAUCUUCUCUCUAUACUUUCUCUCUUAUUUUCUCUCACUUAUUUUCUCUCUUCUCACCUUCUCUCUCCUCAUCCCUUCUCUCUUAUCACUUUCUUUCUCAUUAUUUUUUCUUGCUUUACUUUCUCUCUCAUUUUUCUCAUUAUUUUAUCUCUCUUCAGUUUCUCUCUUUUCAUUAAUUAGUUGCUCAUUUUUUUUCUCUUCUCACUUCCUUUUCUUUACUUUUUAUGUCCCUAUUUUCCCUCCCUCACUCUAUCUCUCUUUACCUUCUUUCUCACCUUUCUAUCUUUUAUUUCUAUCCCCUCUUUUGUUUAUUCUCACUUUCUCUCUUUCUUCACUUUCAUUCAUGAAAGACUCAAAUGUCGUUACAGAAAAAAAAAAGAAAUAACCGAAUGGGGCAGUAAACGGGUAGGUGGAGCUCCUGCACCGAUCCGCCCUGAAUGGGGCAGCAAACGAGAAGAAAUAAAGGAAUUUGGGACAAAAAGCGACAGAUUUAGGGCAAGAAACAAAAAAUUUUUGACCCACUCCAAAUUCGCCCCGAAUCCGCUCCACCAUGAUCCGCCCCGAAUCCGCCCCACAUUGAUCCGCUCCGAAUCCGCCCAAAAAAUUAUUUAUAUUUUAAGAAAAUAUUCCUAAAAUAUAAUAUAUUUAUAAAAAAGUCCAAAAUACAAAUAAAUUGGUGCUCUCAUUCCUCAUGUAUUUGAAAUUUUUGAGUUUUGCUUCGAAUUGUGAUUGAUAUUUUUUAUUUUUAUAAUUGAUAUUGUUAAGUUUAUAUAUAACUUAAUAAUAUUAGUUAUUAAUAUUAAAAAAUUAUUAAUUUAUAUUUUACAAAAUAUUAAUAAUAUUAUAAUUUUUUAAAAAAAUAUUAAUUGGCAGGACGGACUUGGGGCAUCGUCAGGAGAUGGGUUAUGAGGAGGAAUGGAUUAUGGGAUAUAUUUUUUUAACCCGUCACGGAUUCAGUGCAAGAAGCGAGGCGGAAUUUUGGUAGUUGGUGCGGGAGAUGGGGCGGGG
rnacentral:lncRNA from 1 species